rnacentral:lncRNA from 1 species
CCCGACGUGCCUGCCGCCUCCGCUGAGUGACACUGGGUGGGUUUGGAUGUGGCCUUGAUGAUCCUGGCCCGUCGCACCAACGGUGUUGCGGGCGGGAGGGUCCCGAUGGUCGAGCGGGUUACCCUGAGGUAGGUGCCGCGGUCCGCUGGUUACGGCGGGUGGAUCCUCCGGCCGGCUUCUGGUGCGGCUCGCCUGAGGGGUGGAGUGCAGCCGGUCGAGGCUGUGUGAGAAUUGUGUGUUCUGUACCAUCGCCGUUUUCAACAUCUCAAUGGCGUUUCUUGCUUCUAUUUUAGCCGGGGUGUUUCCAUAAAUUGGAAGGGACUCCAAGUGGCGAGUCGCUGCGAGCACGUGGUCCAUGGGGUUGGAAAAGUGGCCCUGAGGCGUCUGGAAGCGAGGAACGCGAUCAUCCGCCGGCUGAGGCGGUAGGUUUGUUGGCUGAGUCGGCCCUCCCCCUGGAACGGUUCCCGUCCCGGGGGUACGCGGAGUGUCAAAAAGGCGGGUAGGGUUCAGAUCAGGGGGUAAACACCCCUGGCGCCUCCUCUGAUGGACAGCGUCGGACGCGCGCUGCUGUCUUUCAAAUCGCCAGUUCUUGGUAUUUAAGCGGGUCGUCUCUGCAGUGAUCUGAGCUUGCUGGGUUGCAAUCCUGGCGGCUUCUGCCUCUGCAUCUCGCUGGGCCUUCGCCAUCUCAUCUCGUAGCUUUGCCAAGUCGGUGUUGAUCGUUCCCAGGUUUUCUACCGUCACGGGGGUUGCCAUGAGCCUCGUUAUCUCCGCCGACAGGUCCACCAGGACCACAACUGGGCUUUUGGAUGGGCCGCCGGCCUCGUUGUUGCCUGCAGGGUUUUGCUGGGACUGUGUUGCCCCCGCAAUGUAUAUGGCGAUCUGACGACGGGUCCGGUCAAGGACUUCGGGAUCCAUCGCCAGCGACAUAUCUCCAAGGCGGCCUUCAUGCACGAACUCGAUCGAGUCUGUGUCGCCCAUGGAUGACUCUUCGUCAGAGUUGACCGGUGUGGCCUCCCGAGUUGCCGACCGCUCCGGCUCAUCAGAUCUCUGCGUGAAGCCGACGAAAACUGGGCACGUCAGGCUUUAUGGCGCGACGGGACGGACAUACCUGGCCGGCUCGACGGUGUCGCUGAAGAUGUCCGGCUCAGACAUGGGUGCUCCGACCAUGCCGAUGAAGAUGUUGACCUUGCUGAAGGGGACUCUAUAGCCGGAUUCGAUCGAAUCGGCCUCGGGUCCCCAUAGCGAGUUGUCGAUGUAGUACUUUCUGCGGCGGCUCCGGGUCAUGAGCCCAGCCGCGUAGCUCCCUGACCCUGGUAGGGAUCCCUUCAAGAACUCAACUCCACCAUGCGUAGGCCCCACGGUGGGCGCCAACUGUCGUGGUUUUGUCACGACACAUUUCCUAGUGAAAGGACUUAAUGAUGGAGCCAUCGCACCUUGGUGGCGACUCAAAGGGGUUAAGCGGAAGCGGGACUCAGAUUUACCUAGGUUCGGCCCCUCGUGAGGAGGCAAAGGCCUACGUCCUGCUUUGUGUUGUAUUGAUGAUGUUUCGAUUACAAAGAGAGGGUAACUCGCCUGACCUAGCUCUCGAUGAUUUCUAAGCUGCUUCUCCUCUCCAGGGACUCGCCUUUAUAUACAGGUUGAGGCCCUAGGGUUUACAAGAGUCCAUGCCUUAAUACAAACCGUGAUUCUUUCUAUCUCUAAGUUGUCGUGCUUUCCAAGAUUGGAAACCUCCUUGGCGACUUAUCCUCUUUGUAUAUUUGGAACCGCCAUCCAGCUCCUGGGCCUUCUGGGCCAAAGCUUGCUUCGCCAAAGGAUGAGUCGCCCACUUAGUGACCCGGCCCAACUAGGGCAGGUCACACCGCAGGUAAUAUCCCCAACACUAUCCGAUGUAAUCCUCUUUGUCGGUGUGUUUGUCGAGAUCCGAUGAAUUGUGGAUUUGUGAUCAGAUUAUCUAUGAAUUAUAUUUGAGUCUUUGCGGAUUUCUUAUAUGCAUGAUUUCAUAUCCUUGUAAGUCUCUCCGAGUCUUGGGUUUUGUUUGGCCAACUAGAUCUAUGAUUCUUGCAAUGGGAGAAGUGCUUGGUUUUGGGUUCAUACCGUGCGGUGACCUUUCCCAGUGACAGAAGGGGCAGCAAGGCACGCAUCGUGUUGUUGCCAUCAAGGGUAACAAGAUGGGCUUUCAUCAUAGAUNNNNNNNNNNNNNNNNNNNNNNNNNNNNNNNNNNNNNNNNNNNNNNNNNNNNNNNNNNNNNNNNNNNNNNNNNNNNNNNNNNNNNNNNNNNNNNNNNNNNCCCCCCUUAGCGUGUGUUAUAUCGUCGUGACGCCGAUCUAAAUUGUCAACACUUUGCGCGAAGCUUGUCGAUGUAGAUCUCCUUCGAUCUCGUCAAAGCUUCCAUCAUUGCAAGAACACAACAUAUUUUAUAAAUGAGAAUAGUUGGGUGCUUAAACACACGACCCUCAUUAAUGUUAUUAUGAGGAGUCCAUAAUGCCCAUGCUAAGGCCGUAAAUCCAACCCAAGCUAGCCUCCUAACAUUCCCUCUUGUCCUCUGAAUAAGUUCAUGACGCUCUGUAAACCUUGUUGAGUUCUGUGAGCACCCCGCGACCUCCCUAAUCAUUCUCCAAGUGUAUCUCACAAUAAUGCAUCGGAAAGAAAUAUGAUCAUAGUCACAUCUUCGCCACACCACUCACAUUUAUCAUUGCUAGACCCAUGUCGUUUGAGCACUUGGUCCUCACUAGGAAUUCACUUCUGUGCCACUUGCCAUAUGCCGGAAUUCUAGCUUUCCAAAUUCCCAUCAACUCAUAUCUCGGUAUUGUUUUGAAAAUAUCCUUAUAAAGUGAUCCCAUCGAGAAUUGGCAUGACGGCUUGUGUUCCAUGAGACUACAUCCGCACACAUGGACACUCGAAGAUGUAUCAAGUCGCUACGCAUACACUGCCAUUCCUCCCAUUGGAUAGUAUCAAGAGCAAGUCUAAAGGAUGGUGUCCAUCGCUUCUCAUCCCAACACUCAUGUUGGCUUUUGAACGUGCGUAUGCAGCCGUACAAGCGUGCCUACGCGAUUCUUGUUUCGGCCGGCUACUUGACGGAACUUGCGUAACUAGCGACACGAAUAAAACUGAUCGAUGGAUUUGAUGGCUAAAGGCCCGUGUCGAGCCUUUGCUUUGUAUUGCUUUUCGUUUUUCUGGUGUUACAAUCAACACCCCUGGGGUGUCUUUUAUACACGUCCACAAGGGACUAUGAAAAUAGACUAGGACUAGGAAUCCUAAUACCACUAGGACUCGGUUUGGCUUUCUUUCCUAAUCCUAAAGAAACAACAUGAUUAACUUCUACAACUACCAUAGCUUCAGGAUGCUCGGAGAUAGCAAAUAGUCAAGGAUAUUAUUCACAUAAUGGGUUUUCCCAGCACCACACGUCCAACCAAAGUUGAGUUCGGUGGCCAUCCCUCACUUCAAAUUUUGUUCAAAGGCUAAGUAAGUGUUGCACAUUCCCCACAACUUUUGGAAACUCGAUGUCAUUGUUGCGAUUUGGAAACAACAAUGACGGCGAGUGACGGUUGUGACCCUGGUCAUAUGGUUGCUCUGGAGACAUCGAAACGACAUCGUCUUCAACGGGGUUGCACCAUCGGCAGAGGCAGUCCUCAGGCGGAUCGACGUUGAGGGCCAGCAUUGGAAGGCAGCGUCGCUCCUGAGAGAAGAUAAUUCCUUCCCUACUAGGAUUGAUAGGUGGACAGACGAAGUAGUCGCUAAUGUGUUGAUGAAUGGCUUUCAUAACUGUGGAUAGGUUGUAAAAACAUGUAGCCGUCUUGGCUAUUUCUAUCUAUGAUCUCGAUACGUCAAACUUUGGCGUAUCCUUGAAAAAAUUAUGGCGAGUGAUAGUGGGGUCAUAACAAGGGUUUGUAGAAAGCUCUCCAACAUGAUUGAGGGGUUCAAUGUGUUGUGUUUGUUGUGGAGUUGGAGUUGUUGUGUCGGGGGCAAUGUUGCGACCAUGACAAUCGAAGAGUGACCAACCUAUGAUGGACGGGCUCAACUCAAGCCGUGUGCAUCUCUCCAAUUGAGCUUAUCAUGUUUCAUGACUAUCAGUGUUAGGGGUAUUGUAACUUGGUUGACCCGAUUUUUUUGUAAUUAGCUGGACCGUUCAUUCUCACUUUCUUCUUAAUAAUUAUUUUUUAUGUACCUAAAUAAUUAUAGUUGGAGAAAACUAGACAACUAUAAUUAUUUAGGUACAAAAGGGUGGUAAAAAAUUAGUGUAAUUUACCUCGUUUCACAAAAUAUAUCCAUCAUGUAUUCAAACGUGGGAACACUAGUCUCAAGGUGAGAGAUAUUGUCGACCGAUUUGGUGGCACAUGAUCAUUUUUCUUGUAAGAACGUCACCGCUUGUAAUGGCAUCCAAUUAAUGCCCUUAUUUCCUCCGCUCCUUUUAAGUGACUGGACAUCUGCAUUGAAAGAUUGCACUGUGCCGUUUUGCGGGCAUAAAAGGGAAAUCGCCCCAAAUAGGCCAUGAUCAAUUGAAGCAAACAAACAACAUCAAUUCCAUGUCAGGGCCCGGGGCCUCCCUCUNNNNNNNNNNNNNNNNNNNNNNNNNNNNNNNNNNNNNNNNNNNNNNNNNNNNNNNNNNNNNNNNNNNNNNNNNNNNNNNNNNNNNNNNNNNNNNNNNNNNUUGCACAAUCUCACGGUCGAAGGAAAAGAUACUUGACUUUAGAAAAGCAUUAGCAUACGAACAAUACGAUCUAGUGCUAGGCUUAGGAUUGGGUCUUGUCCACCACAUCAUUCUCCCAAUGAUGUGAUCCAGUUAUCAAUGACAUCCAAUGUCCAUGAUCAGGAAACCAUGAUCAUCUAUCGACUAACGAGCUAGCCAACUAGAGACUUGCUAGGGACACAUUGUGAUCUAUUCAUUCACACAUGUAUUACUGUUUCCUGUUAAUACAAUUAUAGCAUGAACGAUAGACGAUUAUCAUGAACAAGGAAAUAUGAUAACAACCAUUUUAUUAUUGCCUCUAGGGCAUAUUUCCAACACCUACCUACCUAUGGAUUGAAUAAGAUCCCUCAAGUAAGUUGUCAUCGGUGCAAGCAAUAAAAAUUGCUCUCUAAUAUGUAUGAUCUAUUAGUGUGUGGAAAAUAAGCUUUAUACGAACCUAUGAUGAGGAAGACAUAAAAGCGACAGACUGCAUAAUAAAGUUCUUUAUCACAGGAGGCAAUAUAAAGUGACGUUCCUUCGCACUAAGAGGACACGCAUCCAAACCUCAAGAGUGCAUGUCAACCUCUGCUUCCCUCUGCGAAGGGCCUAUCUUGUACCUUUACUUUUUGCCUUUGAAAGAGUCAUGGUGAUCUGCACCAAUUCCUUAUCUCGCCUUUAUCUUGGCUAACGUCAUAUGCUUGGGAAAGAUCUGUAUUCAUAUGUCAACUUGGAGGUAGGCAUUCAUGAAUUAUUAUUGUUGACUUUAACCUUGAGGUAAGCAGCUGGGAGGCAAAACUAUAAGCCCCUAUCUUUCUCAGUGUCCAGCUGAAACUUUGAUAUCAUGAGUACCACGUGAGUUGUAGCAAUUGUAGAGAACAAAAGAAUGAUUGAGUAUGUGGAUUGGCUUUACAAGCUCUUAUUUGACUCUUUCUGAUGUUGUGAUAAAUUGCAAUUGCUUCAAUGACUAAAGCUAUUGGUUGUUACUUCUCGGUAAGGUUCUUGAUCCAUGCUUUACUUUGUGAAGGAAUUAUCACUUUAGCAUGAGAGAUUAUAUGUUGGUAUUGCUGUUCUGAUCUUGAUCAUGAUGCAUGCAUGUUCGUAUCUUGUUUUGUCGACACCUCUGUCCCUAAACAUGUGGACAUAUUUAUUGAGCUCGGCUUUCACUUGAGGACAAGCGAGGUCUAAGCUUGGGGGAGUUGAUACGUCCAUUUUGCAUCAUGUUUUCAUGUUGAUAUUUAUCGCUUCUUUGGCUGUUAUUUCACUUCACGGUACUAUUCUUAUGCCUUUUCUCUCUUAUUUUGCAAGGUUUACAUGAAGAGGGAGAAUAACGGCAACUCGAAUUAUGGCCUGAAAGUGGAGCAAAGUUGAGAUACCUAUUCUGCGCAACUCCAAACGCCGUAAAAAUCAACGAGGAUUUUUUUCCCGAUUUAUCAAAAAUACUGGGCCGAAGAAGUGCCACAGGGGCACCAGGGGGUGCCCACAAGCCUGCACGGCGCGACCACCCCCCCAGGCCGCGCCAUGGGGGCUUGUGGGCAGCCCACUGGCCCACUUNNNNNNNNNNUCGUAAAAAUCAACGAGGAUUGUUUUCCCGAUUUAUAAAAAAUACUGGGACGAAGAAGUGCCAGAGGGGCACCAGGGGGUGCCCACAAGCCUGCACGGCGCGGCCACCCCCAGGCCGCGCCAUGGGGGCUUGUGGGCAGCCCACUGGCCCACUUGCUCCCCUCUUUUGCUACAUGGAGGGUUUUGUCCAGGAAAAAAAAUUCAAGGAGGAGCUUUUUCGUUGUUUUGCUGCCGCCACGAGGCGGAACUUGAGAAGAACCAAUCUAGAGCUCGGCAGGACGAUCCUGCCGGGGAAACUUCCCUCCCGGAGGGGGAAAUCNNNNNNNNNNGCUCUCAUCGGACUCGUCACCAUCAACAUCUUCAUCAGCACCAUCUCAUCUCCAAACCCUAGGUCAUCACUUGUAACCAAUCUCCUUCUCACGACUCCGAUUGGUACUUGUAAGGUUGCUAGUAGUGUUGAUUACUCUUUGUAGUUGAUGCUAGUUGGAUUAUUUGGUGGAAGAGUUUAUGUUCAGAUCCUUGAUGAUACUCAUUACCUCUCUAAUCAUGAAUAUGAUUAUGCUUUGUGAGUAGUUACUUUUGUUCCUGAGGACAUGGGAUAAGUCAUGCUAAUAGUAGUCAUGUGAAUUUGGUAUUCGUUCGGUAAUUUGAUAUGUUGUAUGUUCUUUUUCCUCUAGUGGUGUUAUGUGAACGUCGACUACAUAACACUUCACCAUUAUUUGGGCCUAGAGGAAGGCAUUGGUAAGUAGUAAGUAGAUGAUGGGUUGCUAGAGUGACAGAGGCUUAAACCCUAGUUUAUGCGUUGCUUCGUAAGGGGCUGAUUUGGAUCCACUAGUUUAAUGAUAUGGUUAGACUUUGUCUUAAUUCUUCUUUCGUAGUUGCGGAUGCUUGCGAGAGGGGUUAAUCAUAAGUGGGAUGCUUGUCCAAGUAAGGGCAGUACCCAAGCGCCGGUCCACCCACAUAUCAAACUAUCAAAAUAAUGAACGCGAAUCAUAUGAACAUGAUGAAACUAGCAUGACAGAAAUUCUCGUGUGUCCUCGGGAGCGUUUUCCCUCCUAUAAGACUUUGUCCAGGCUUGUCCCUUGCUACAAAAGUGAUUGGGCCACUUGGCUGCAUCGUUGCUACUUUUAUUACUUGUUGCUCGCUAUGAAUCAUCUCACCACACAAUCACUUGUUACCGACAAUUUCAGUGCUUGNNNNNNNNNNNNNNNNNNNNNNNNNNNNNNNNNNNNNNNNNNNNNNNNNNNNNNNNNNNNNNNNNNNNNNNNNNNNNNNNNNNNNNNNNNNNNNNNNNNNUGAGCCUAGCAUGUGCAGACAUGGCCUUGGAACACAUGAGACCGAAAGGUCGAUCAUGAGUCAUAUAGUUGAUGUGAUUAGCAUAGAGAUUCUUACCACUGAAAUUAUUCUCGACUCACGUGAUGAUCGGACUUCAGAUAGUGGAUUUGGAUCAUGUACCACUCAAAUGACUAGAGAGAUGUACUUUUUGAGUGGGAGUUCUUAAGUAAUAUGAUUAAUUGAACUAAUUGUCAUGAACAUAGUCUAAUGGUCUUUGCGAAUUACGAUGUAGCUUGCGCUAUAGCUCUACUGUUUUUAUAUGUUCCUAGAGAAAAUUUAGUUGAAAGUUGAUAGUAGCAAACUUUGCAGAGUGAGUCUGUAAAACUAAGGAUUGUCCUCGAUGCUACUUAGAAGGCUUAUGUCCUUAAUGCACCACUCGGUGUGCUGCACCUCGAGCGUCGUCUGUGGAUGUUGUGAACAUCGGACAUACACAUUUCUGAAUACUAUGCGAUAGUUCAGUGCAAAAUACUUAAUGGCUUAGAAGCAAGGCGCCGAAGACGUUUUGAAACGUCACGGAACAUAAGAGAUGUUCUAAAGAGAUGAAAUUGUGAUUUCAUGCUCGUGCCCUUGUUAAGAGGUAUGAGACCUCCGACAAGAUUCUUUGUCCACGAAGUAAAGGAGAGAAGCUCAAUCGUUGAGCGUGUGCUCAGAUUGUCUGAGUACGACAAUCGCUUGAAUCAAGUGGGAGAUAAUCUCCCAGAUGAGAUAGUGAUGGUUCUCCAAAGUCACUGCCACCAAGCUGUGAGAGCUUCGUGAUGAACUAUAACAUAUCAAGGAUAGAUACAAUGAUCCUUGAGCGAUUUGCGAUGUUUGACACUUUGAAAGUAGAAAUCAAGAAGGAGCAUCAAUAGUUGAUGGUUAGCAAAACCACUAAGUUUCAAGAAAAGGCAAGGGCUAGAAGGGAUACUUCGUGAAACGGCAAAAUAGUUGCUGCACUGAUGAAGAGACCCUAGAUUAAACCCAAACCCAAGACUAAGUGCUUCUGUUAUGAGCGGAAUGGUCACUGAAGUGGAGCUACCCUAGAUGCUUGGUAGAUAAGAAGGCUGACAAAGUCGAAAGAUGUAUAUUUGAUAUACAUGAUGUUGAUGUGUACUUUACUAGUACUCCUAGUAGCUCGAGGGUAUUGGAUACCGGUUCGGUUGCUAAGUGAUUAGUAACACGAAAUGAAAGCUACGGAAUAAAGGAGACUAGCUAAAGGCGAGGUGACGAUAUAUGUUGGAAGUGUUUCCAAGGUUGAUAUGAUCAAACGUCGCACGCUCCCUCUAUCAUCGGGAUUGGUGGUAAAACCUAAAUAAUUGUUAUUUGGUGUUUGCGUUGAGCAUGAACAUGAUUGGAUCAUGCUUAUUGCAAUACGAUUAUUCAUUGAAAGAGAAUAAUAGUUAUUCUAUUUGCUUGAAUAAUUACCCUCAAUGGUUUAUUGAAUCUCGAUCGUAGUGUUACACAUAUUCAUAAUAUUAGUGCCAAAAGAUACAAAGUAAUAAUGAUAGUACCACUUAGUUGUGGCACUGCCACUUGAGUCAUGUUGGUGUAAAAUGCAUAAAGAAGCUCCAUGCUGAUGGAUCUUUGUACUCACUCAUUUUUGAAACAUUUGAGACAUGCAAACCAUACCUGUUGGUAUAAAUGCAUGAAGAAACUCCAUAGAGAUGGAUCAUUUGGACUCGCUUGAUUUUGAAUCACUUGAGACAUGCAAAACAUGCCACAUGAAACAAGAGAGUAACUUGUUGGGAGUAAUGCAUUUUUUAUGUGUGCAGUCCAAUGAGUGCUAAGGCACGCAAUGGAUAUCAUUAUGUUCUUACUUCACUGAUGAUUUGAGUAGAUACAGGAGUAUUUACUUGAUGAAUCACAAGUCUGAAAUAUUGAAAAGUUCAAUUCUGUUUCAGAGUGAAGUUCGUUGUAACAAGAGGAUAAACUGUCUAUGAUAUGAUCAUAGAGAUGAAUAUCUGAGUUAUGAGUUUUGGUACGUAGUUAAGACAAUGUGGAAAUUGUUUCGCAGUUCAUGCCACCUGGAACACCGUAGUGUGAUGAUGUGUCUAAACGUCAUAGCCACACCCUAUUUGAUAUGGUGCAUACUAUGAUGUCUCUUAUCGAAUUACCACUAUCGAUUAUGGGUUAUGCAUUAGAGACAACCGCAUUCACUUUAAAUAGGGCACCGCGUAUUUCCGUUGAGAUGACACAGUAUACACGGAGGUUUAGAGAAAUCUAAGUUGUCGUUUCUUGAAAGUUUGGGGCUGUGAUGCUUAUGUGAAAAAGGUUUCAGUCUGAUAAGCUCGAACCCGAAGCGGAUGAAAGCAUCUUCAUAGUAUAUCCAAAACAGUUGGAUACAUCUCCUAUCUCAGAUCCGGAAGCAAAGUGUUUACUUCUAGAAACGGAUCCUUUCUCGAGGAAAGGUUUCUCUCGAAAGAAUUGAGUGGGAGGGUGGUAGAACUUGAUGAGGUUAUUGAACCAUCGCUUCAACCAGUGUGUAGCAGGGCGCAGGAAGUUAUUCUUGUGGCGCCCACACUAAUUGAAGUGGAAGCUGAUGAUGGUGAUCAUUAAGCAUUGGAUCAAUUUACUACAAACCUCGUAGGUCGACAAGGUCGCAUACUACUACAGAUUGGUACGGUAACCAUGUCUUGGAGGUCAUGUUGUUGAACAACAAUGAACCUAUGAGUUAUGGAGAAGCAAUGGUGGGCCCGGAUUCCAACAAAUGGCUGGAGGCCAUGAAGUCCGAGAUAGGAUCUAUGUAUGAAAACAAAGUGUGGACUUUGGAAGUACUACCUGAAGGCCGCAAGGCUAUUCAGAACAAAUGGAUCUUUAAGAAGAAGACGGACGUUGACGGUAAUGUGACCGUUUAUAAAGCUCGACUUGUGACAAAGGGUUUUUCACAAGUUCAAGGAGUUGACUACGAUGAGACGUUCUCACCUGUAGCGAUGCUUAAGUCCGUCAGAAUCAUGUUAGCAAUAGCUGCAUUUUUCGAUUAUGAAAUAUGGCAGAUGGAUGUCAAAACGGCGUUCCUUAACGGUUUCCUUAAGGAAGAGUUGUAUAUGAUGCAACCCGAAGGUUUUGUCGAUCCUAAAAAUGCUAACAAAGUGUGCAAGCUCCAGUGAUCCAUUUAUGGACUGGUGCAAGCAUCUCGGAGUUAGAAUAAACGCUUUGAUGAGGUGAUCAAAGCAUUUGGGUUUAUACAAGUGGUUAGAGAAACUUGUAUUUCCAAAGAAGUGAGUGGGAGCACUAUAGAAUUUCUAAUAAGUAUAUGUGGUUGACAUAUUGUUGAUCAGAAGUAAUGUAGAAUUUCUGUAAAGCAUACAAGGUUGUUUGAAAGGAGUUUUUCAAAGGAAUACCUGGAUUGAGCUACUUGAACGUUGAGCAUCAAGAUCUAUGGAGAUAGAUCGAAACGCUUAACAGAAGUUUCAACAAGAUGCAUGCCUUGACAAGUUUUUGAAGGAGUUCAAAAUAGAUUAGCAAAGAAGGAGUUCUUGACUGUGUUGUAAGGUAUGAAUUUGAGUAAGACUCAAAACCCGACCACGGCAGAAUAAAGAGAAUAGACGAAGGUCGCCUUCUAUGCCCUAGCCGUAGACUCUAAAGUAUGCCAUGCUGAGUACCGCACCUGAUGUGUGCCUUGCAGCAAGUCUGUUAAGAGGUACAAAUAGUGAUCCAAGAUUGAAUCACUGAUCAGCAGUCAAAGUUAUCCUUAGUAACUAAAUGGACUAAGGAAUUUUUCUCGAUUAUGGAGGUGGUUGAAGAGUUCGUCGUAAAGGGUUACGUCGAUGCAAGCUUUAACACUAAUCCGAAUAACUAUGAGUAGUGAAACGGAUUCGUAUAGUAGAGUAGAUAUUUGGAGUAUUUCCGCAUAGCACGUAGUAGCAACAUCUAUAAGAUGACAUAAAGAUUUGUAAAGAACACAAGGAUCUGAAAGUUUCAGAACCGUUGACUAAAACCUCUCUCACGAGCAAGACGUUAUCAGACCCCAUAACUAUAUGGGUGUUGGAUUCGUUGAAAUCACAUGGUGAUGUGAAGUAGAUUAUUGACUCUAGUGCAAGUGAGAGACUGUUGGAAAUAUGCCCUAGAGGCAAUAAUAAAUUAGUUAUUAUUAUAUUUCUUUGCUCAUGAUAAUCGUUUAUUAUCCAUGCUAUAAUUGUAUUGAUUGGAAACACAAUACUUUGUGGAUACAUAGACAAAACACUGUCCCUAGUAAGCCUCUAGUUGACUAGCUCGUUGAUCAAACAUGGUCAAGGUUUCCUGACCAUAGGCAAGUGUUGUCACUUGAUAACGGGAUCACAUCAUUAGAGAAUCAUGUGAUGGACUAGACCCAAACUAAUAGACGUAGCAUGUUGAUCGUGUCAUUUUGUUGCUACUGUUUUCUGCAUGUCAAGUAUUUAUUCCUAUGACCAUGAGAUCAUAUAACUCACUGACACCGGAGGAAUACUUUGUGUGUAUCAAACGUCACAACGUAACUAGGUGGCUAUAAAGAUGCUCUACAGGUAUCUCCGAAGGUGUCCGUUGAGUUAGUAUGGAUCAAGACUGGGAUUUGUCACUCCGUGUGACGGAGAGGUAUCUCGGAGCCCACUCGGUAAUACAACAUCACACACAAGCCUUGCAAGCAAUGUAACUUAGUGUAAGUGGCGGGAUCUUGUAUUACGGAACGAGUAAAGAGACUUGUUGGUAAACGAGAUUGAAAUAGGUAUGCGGAUACCGACGAUCGAAUCUCGGGCAAGUAACAUACCGAAGGACAUAGGGAAUGACAUACGGGAUUAUAUGAAUCCUUGGCACUGAGGUUCAAACAAUAAGAUCUUCGUAGAAUAUGUAGGAUCCAAUAUAGGCAUCCAGGUCCCGCUAUUGGAUAUUGGCCGAGGAGUCCCUCGGGUCAUGUCUACAUAGUUCUCGAACUCGCAGGGUCUGCACACUUAAGGUUCGACAUUGUUUUAUGCGUAUUUGAGUUAUAUGGUUGGUUAUCGAAUGUUGUUCGGAGUCCCGUAUGAGAUCAUGGACGUCACGAGGGUUUCCAGAAUGGUCCGGAGACGAAGAUAGAUAUAUAGGAUGACCUCAUUUGAUUACCGGAAGGUUUUCGGAAUUACCGGGAAUGUACCGGGAAUGACGAAUGGGUUCCGGAUGUUCACCGGGGGGGGGGGGNNNNNNNNNNNNNNNNNNNNNNNNNNNNNNNNNNNNNNNNNNNNNNNNNNNNNNNNNNNNNNNNNNNNNNNNNNNNNNNNNNNNNNNNNNNNNNNNNNNNNNNNNNNNNNNNNNNNNNNNNNNNNNNGUGCCACACCAGCCCUUAGUGGGUUGGUGGGCAAGCCCAGAGAGGCCCCUGCGCAGGGAGAUAGAAAAUCAAAAGAGAAAAAAGGGAAGUGGGGAGGAAGGGAAGGACUCCACCUUCCAAUCCUAGUUGGACUAGGAUUGGAGGAGGACUCCUCCUCCCCCCCAUCGGUCGAACCCCUUGGGGAUCCUUGAGCCCCAAGGCAAGGCCCCUCCCCUUUACCCUAUAUAUACGGAGGUUUUAGGGCUGAUUUGAGACAACUUUUCCACGGCAGGCCGACUACAUACCUCCACGGUUUUUCCUCUAGAUCGCGUUUCUGUGGAGCUCGAGCGGAGCCCUGCUGAGAUUAGAUCACCACCAACCUCCGGAGCACCUUCACACUGCCGGAGAACUCAUCUACCUCUCCGUCUCUCUUGCUGGAUCAAGAAGGCCGAGAUCAUCGUCGAGUUGUACGUGUGCUGAACGCGGAGGUGCCGUCCGUUCAGCACUAGAUUGGAGCGGAUCGUGGGACGGAUCGCGGGACGGUUCAUGGGACGGUUCACGGGGCGGAUCGAGGGACAUGAGGACGUUCUACUACAUCAACCGCGUUUAGUAACACUUCUGCUGUGCGAUCUACAAGGGUACGUAGAUCUGAAAUCCCCCUCGUAGAUGUACAUCACCAUGAUAGGUCUUCGUGCGCGUAGGAAAUUUUUUGUUUCCCAUGCGAUGUUCCCAACAAUAAUAACCAUUUUAUUAUUGCCUCUAGCGCAUAUUUCCAACAUCGGCCAUCGUAUCCUUGUAUGCAAGCAAACGUUGCUCGGAGUUGACACGCAUGGUCUUCCAACGAAUGUGCAUUCCGAAUCCAACAUUAUGCCUACCAUCAAACUCAACAACAUCACUUGUGUCCAUCCAAUCCAAAUCCUUUCGGACUUGUUCCAACAAUUUAGCAUAGCUAGGAGCGAAAUCGAACACCAUGUCAAGCUCAUCCUGGUCCGGAUCAAUAUUGCCUUUUAAAAAGGCAUCCUUGUCCACGUGAUGAACAUAAACACAUGUUCUUUCCAUCCCUAAACAACACAACAUACAAUAUUUUCUAUAAGCAAUCAUCCAAAUACUACAAAAUCUGCUUAAUAAAAAUAAAACCUAUUCCUAACAUCCAAACAUCCAUAAUCCUAACCCCAUCUUACCCGUAAGCCUAACACAACCAUAAUCCAAACAUCCAAACAACCCUAAUUCUAACCCCAUCAUACCCCUUAUCCUAAUAUACAAACAAAUGCAACAAUAUCAUAUACAUCCCAAAUUUCAUGAAGAACUAGGGUUUCCUCACAUUUGCAAACAAGUCACCAAAUGAGAUUUCUUUUGGGAUGAGAAGGAGGGGAUCGGGGGGGGGGGUUACCUUAAGGGAGGGAUUUGACACGAAAUGCCCGGACCAAACCUUCAAAUCUGUUGAUUUGGUGAGGGGGUUUGAGGAAGGGGCGACAUCAACUUGAGUUGUGAAGACUCUGGUGAAGGGGGUGAAUGAGGAGGGGGUGGGGGAGGAGGCCGGGCCGUGGCUGGAUAAAUGAAGGUGUGGCACCUAAGGGCUCGACGCCACAAUUCCAAUGUGCAACGCCUAAGCGUUAGGCGUCACAUUGUUGGGGGUGGGGCCUCCAGCACCAACAUGGACAUGGGUGUGGCACCGACGUCUUAGGCGUCACAUAGUGUAGUGUGUCUCCUAGGAGUCGGACACCACACAAAAGAGUCAGCUCGGUGAUUUUUUUCCGUGAAGGGUUCAGUUUGUGAGUUCUUUCAGCCCAGGGGCCAGAAUUGUCAAUUUUGCCUAUCUAACACCGCCGACCCAUGGACUUGAGUUCCCUCUGCUGGAGAGGCUAUCCAUCUCUGGCUUCCGCUUCGACAUGGAUGAUCUUAUCCAGCGCUGCCCUCACCCGCGCGUACUAGAGAUGGGAAACAACUGGGGUCUCGGUAACAUCAGAGUCCACUCACCAACGAUCGAGGAGCUUGUCGUGGACUACACGUGUCAUGUGAGUGGUAUCAACAGCAUGGAUCACUCAUUUGAAAUCACCUAACUUCCUGGCCAGUCACCCAUCCUCUCACUAAUCCAACCCAAGAACGCUUAACUUUCCGGUUCUAUCUCCACUACUUUCCAAGUCUCCACUUGUAGUUUUCUUGACAAUAGUAAGCUAUCAAUCCUAUUAACCCUUAGGUCUUGAUGUCACAUGAUUUAAUUUUUUGAAUUCUAAACAAUUAUUAAAACAUACAACAAUGUUUAAUAAACAACAAUAAUUAAUUGAAAACCUUAAAAAAACUUGAAAAAAGGAAAUUUUCAAAAAAAACUCAAAUAAUUCUUAAAAAGCAUAAAAACAAAAAAAUAACUAAAAAGUUCAAAAUAAAACAAGUAAUAAUAAUAUUAUUGAAUUGCAAUGAAAAUCAAAUAAGUAAUAAUAUUAUUUUAUUCAUUUUUUUGCCAUUUAUUCAUUUAAUAUGGCAUAAUUAAUAUCUUUAAAUCUAUAAAUCAAAAUUCAAAAAAUAAUAUAUCCAUUAUUAUCACAAAAAUGUGAGGAAUCCAAAUAUGACACCCUUUUCAAAAAUAAAAUUAGAAACAACUAACAUAGCAAUAAAGUAAUAUUAACUAAUUAGAAAAACAAAACUAUUGUCAAACAACAAAAACUAAAGUUAAUUAUAUUAAAUUGGCUUAUAAUGGUGCAUAUUGAAUGCACAAAAAGUGUGAAGUUGAAAUAAGAUUAGAAAAAUGCAAUGGCUUUGUAAGAGAUGAGUAUUCGUCGAGAAUAGUGAUACUUCGAAAGAGAUAGUCCAGUUUGUAAACGAAGUGCAUCCGGUUUUUGCCUUAACCCUUCCAACUUUUUAGCACAUGUCAUGUGGGUGAAAUGAUGAUACCAUGCCAAGUUUUAGCCUUUUUCGAGUUGAUUUGUAGCGUUCUUCAAUUUCAGAAUCAUUUAGCUAAAAAAUCAUAAAAUGCAUGAAAAGUAGCAAAUGAAGUUAGAAAGGGUUGAAAUUUGAAGAUGUGGCUUAGAAUGGUGCAUAUUGAAUGCACAAAAAGUAUGGAGUUGAAAUAAUAUUAAAUAACGAAAUGGCUUUGUAAGAGAUGAGUAUUCGUCCACAAACCUCAUACUUCGAAAGAGAUAGUCCAGUUUGUACACGAAGUGCAUCCUGUUUUUAUCUUAACCCUUCCAACUUUUUAGCACAUGCCAUGUGGGUGAAAUGAUGAUAUCAUGCCAAAUUUCAGCCUUUUUGAGUUGAUUUGUAGCGCUUUUCAAUUUCAGGGUCAUUUAGCUCAAAAAAAAUCAUUAAAUGCAUGAAAAGUAGCAAAUGAAGUUAGAAAGGGUUGAAAUUUGAAGAUGUGGCUUACAAUGAUGCAUAUUCAAUGCACAAAAAGUCUGGAGUUGAAACAAGAUUAAAAAAUGAAAUGGCUUUGUAAGAGAUGAGUAUUCGUCUAAAACCGUGAUGCUUCGAAAGAGAUAGUCCAGCUUGUACACGAAGUCCAUACGGUUUUUGCCGUAACCCUUCCAACUUUUUAGCACAUGCCAUGUGGGUGAAAUGAUGAUACCAUGCCAAGUUUCAGCCUUUUCCGAGUUGAUUUGUAGUGCUUUUCAAUUUCAGGGUCAUUUAGCUCAAAAAAAUCAUUAAAUGCAUGAAAAGUAGCAAAUGAAGUUAGAAAGGGUUGAAAUUUGAAGAUGUGGCUUAGAAUGGUGCAUGUUUAAUGCACAAAAAGUCUAGAGUUGAAAUAAGAUUAGAAAAAUGAAAUGGAUUUGUAAGAGAUGAUUAUUCGUCCAGAACCGUGAUACUUCGAAAGAGAUAGCCCAGUUUGUACACGAAGUGCAUCCUGUUUUUGCCGUAACCCUUUCAACUUUUUAACACAUGCCAUGUGGGUGAAAUGAUGAUACCAUGCCAAGUUUCAGCCUUUUCCGAGUUGAUUUAUAGCACUUUUAAUUUCAGGGUCAUUUAGGUCAAAAAAAUCAUUAAAUGCAUGAAAAGUAGCAAAUGAAGUUUGAAAGGGUUGAAAUUUGAAGAUGUGGCUUUAAAUGAUGCAUACUUAGGGCACAAAAGGUGUGGAGUUGAAAUAAGAUUAAAAAAUGAAAUUGCUUUGUAAGAGAUGAGUAUUCGUGUACAAACUUGGCCAUCUACUUUAGAGUAUGAGGGUUUUGGACGAAAACUCAUAUGUUACAUGAGCAUUUCAGUUUUGUUAACUUGUUCCAACUCCAGACUUUUUGUGCAUUCAAUAUGCACAAUUCCAAGCCACAUCCUCAAAUUUCAACAAUUUCUAACUUCACUUGCUAUUUUUCAUGCAUUUAAUGAUUUUUGAGGUAAAUGACCCUGAAAUUAAAAAGCACUAUAAAUGAACUCUAAAAAGGUUGAAACUUGGCAUGUUAUCAUACAUCACAAUGCUCCAGAAAUUUUGCUCACAUCAUAUUUGAACACGGAAAUAAACAAAAAUACUCAUCCAAGCUAGAGAUCCACAUGCAGUACAUAAUAUAUAAUAGCUAGAAAUAAAAGUGUUCGCCGUUGCGAACACUACUCGUCUAAAUCAGAAUAUCCCCAAAUUGGUGGUGGUGGUGGUGCUUGAUGUACGAGGUGACACUAGUCAUAGUUCAUGAUUCGAAUCCUGCGGUACAACUCAUGUGCAACGUACGCAUCUUUUGUUGUAUACUCAAUGUUGAUACCGUCAAGUGGGGUGCUACGGCAACAAAAGACCUUCCCCGACAACGGCGCCAGGAAUCCUUCUGAUGCUGGCUACGCCUACAGGGACUUCCUUGGAAAAUAUGCAAAGGAUUCCCUCGGGGCCAUGGAGCCUUGCGUUGAUGUUUCCUUGAAGAGGAAAGGGUGAUGUAGCACUGUGGCAGUAAGUAUUUCCCUCAAUUUGAGAACCAAGGUAUCGAUCCAGUAAGAGGAUCGCGUCAAGUCACAAGUACCUGCACAAACACAAAGAGCUUGUACCCAACUCUAUGAAGGGGUUGUCAAUCCCUUAUAGAUUGUUUGCAAAGUGAGAACUGAAAGCAAAAAGUAAACAAAGCAAAGUAAAAGUAAAAGUGGAGACGAUAGUUGUGAAUAGACCCGGGGGCCGUAGUGUUCACUCGUGGCUUCUCUCAUGAAAGCAAGUAUACAGUGGGUGAACGAAUUAUUGUCGAGCAAUUGAUAGAACCGCGCAAACUCAAGACAUUAUCUAUGGCAAUGAUCAUAUCUAUAGGCAUCACGUCCAAAACAAGUAGACCGAUACUUUCUGCAUCUACUACUAUUACUCCACACUUCGACCGCUAUCCAGCAUGCAUCUAGUGUAUUGNNNNNNNNNNNNNNNNNNNNNNNNNNNNNNNNNNNNNNNNNNNNNNNNNNNNNNNNNNNNNNNNNNNNNNNNNNNNNNNNNNNNNNNNNNNNNNNNNNNNAUGAGAUCAUCGUGGAGCUAGUGGGAGCCACCAUGGGUAUCCAGACCCCGCUGAUGGUUAUUGGCCAGAGAGGUGUCUCGGUCAUGUCUGCCUGUCUCCCGAACCCGUAGGGUCUACACACUUAAGGUUCGAUGACGCUAGGGUUAUAGGGAAUUGUUAUACGAGAUUACCGAAAGUUGUUCGGAGUCCCGGAUGAGAUCCAGGACGUCACGAGGAGCUCCAGAAUGGUCCGGAGGUAAAGAUUGAUGUAUAGGACGGAUGGUUUCGGACACCGGAAGUGUUUCGGGCAUCAUCGGUAACGUACCGGGACCACCGGGACCACCGGAGGUGGUCCCGGGGGACCACCGAAGGGGGGCUGCGACCCCAAGAGGUAAGAUGGGCUAAGUGGGGGUGGGAACCAGCCCCUAGUUGGGCUGGUAUGCCUCCCCACUCAGCCCAUGGCGCACGGGAAAGGAAAAGAGGGGGGAACCCUAAUUUAGGUGGGCCUUAGGCCCACCAGAGGGGUGCGCCACCCCUCCCCCUUGCCCUGGCCGCCACCCCUUCCCCAUCUGAGGGCUGCCGCACCCCUUAGGGGUGGGAACCCUAAGGGCUGCGCCCCCUCCCUCUCCCCCUAUAUAUAGAUGAGGUCCGGGGUUGUUUGAGACACGGUUUAAUCUCUCUCUCGCAUCCCUGCUUCUCUCCCUCCUCCUCUCUGCCGGCGCUUUGGCGAAGCCUUGCCGGGAGACCUCGUCUCUCCACCAACACCACGCCGUCGUGUUGCUGGUCUUCUUCCUCAACCUCUCCCUCCUCCUUGCUGGAUCANNNNNNNNNNNNNNNNNNNNNNNNNNNNNNNNNNNNNNNNNNNNNNNNNNNNNNNNNNNNNNNNNNNNNNNNNNNNNNNNNNNNNNNNNNNNNNNNNNNNGGAUGGUACAGAAACACCAGAGGCUUGACUCGUUGAGUUGGGUCGCUACACCUAAACAGCUGAAUAAUGGUGAGUACCACAUUUUUACCACCAACGGCUGCAAAAAGGAUAGGGAGCGUAAGUAGACAUCCAUCAACAUGAUUGAGCCAACAUUCCCUAGAUAUCUCAACUCGUCCGAGCAACCAAUUGUUUGGAGCCAUGAGGAUCAACCGCCUCGGGUUGAUAACCCGGGAGAUCUAGCUUUGGCAGUAGCACCUCAGGUUGGUGGAUACACCCUCACAAAAGUCCUCAUGGAUGGAGGGAGCAGCAUCAACAUUUUAUAUUAUGACACUUUCCGGAGGAUGAACCUGCAGGACAACACUUUGCAAACUUCGUCCAUAGUUUUUUGUGGAAUCAUUCGUGGGAAGUCAGCAUGCCCAGUUCGGCGGAUCAAGCUUAAUGUUGCUUUUCGGGAUGAACAUAAUUCCAGAUGUGAGCCCCUAAUGUUUGAGGUGGUGAAAAUAAAGAGUCCUUAUCAUGCUCUCUUUGGAAGGCUGGCUUAUGCCCGGUUCAUGGCCCGUCCUUGUUAUAUCUACCUUAAGCUCAAUAUGCUGGGUCCUAAAGGCACCAUAAUAGUGGGAGGUAGAAUAAAGAUAGCUCAAGAAUGUGAGGAAGGAGAUGUUGCUUAUGCUGAGUCGGCCUGUGCUACUGAAAAGAUAAAAUCCCUCACAGACAACUCUGGUAAAGCUUCUCUCAAGUAAGCCACCAGUUUGAGUAAUCCAACCCGGCCAAUUUCUUUUUGCCCUAUCACACUAGGAGCUACCGUCUCAUUAUCUUUUGUACCAAUCCCCAAAUUCUGUACAUACUUCUAAAAUAUUUGAAUCUAAUAAAGCUUGCUUUUAGCAAAAUUGAGCAUGAGUUUUUUACCACCCAGUAUGUUAGCUGGGGGCUUCAAAGUUCAAAUAAAUUAUUAUGGUCAAUAAAAUUAAGUCGGCUUAUCUCGGUGCUACCUGCCCCGAGUUGUUUAGCAGUAAUAGCAUUGUCUUCUGCAAUCCUAUGUCAGGCCUUUCUAUUUUGAUAAUAGGUCACUUGGAGGCUUCGAACUCAAAGAGUUCAGCCUCUUACCCUCUUGAUCGUCAAAGACGCCACAAAAUUAUUAAACCUGUUGGUAUUUUUUGGCGACUCUGAAGAAGGUGACUCUGUGUACUCUUGAUUGAUCAUUCCAUUAUGGACCCUGAAUCGGCAAGGUUAAAACAUGGGUAUAUCAUGUGAGAACUGACAUGUUGAAAGCUAGGAUAAAUCUUGGGUUAUUAUGCCUGCUUCGUUGAACCAAGUCUAGGCCUCAAAAGUUAACAUUUUAUUUUUAACCGCGUCUCACUAAGCCGGUUUGCGAGUCUUGACUAAUACUCUGCAUGAUAUAUUAUUUUUUAGAAACUUUUUGUAGAGAGUACCAUUUAAAAACUAUCAUAAAAACAUGAUUAUUACAUGUUCCAAAUAUUUUGUUUUUAAAUAAAUUUUAUUUUCUCCUGCAAUAAUGGCGUAAGGAGAUGGAACAGCGUUACCACAUCAUCAUGGAAAACCGGGUCAUAAGAGAUAUAGCUAUAAAGUUUCUGAUGGUUGGCUGAAAUAAACACGCUCGAAGGCGUGACCACAUGCAUCUCAGAGUUGUCGCUACCCUAUUACAGACUCACAUCAAGAGUCAUCAAAAUCCAAAAAGGAAUUUACCAGAAGAUAAAGUUUUUAUGAUAGGCGAGUUAUUUAUGACCCACCAUCAGUUUACGCCGUUGGCACAUUCCGCACCCGAUUCUUCCGACUCGUCGUCAUCAUCAAUAUGAUCCUGGCCUUGUUGGAUCCACCGAAUUGAUCUCGGAGAUUCAAAAUCUGAAGCGGUCCCAGUUGAAGUAGAAGAUCUGAUGUUAGAAUCCGUCUUUUUCUCAUAAUGAGGUGGAAUGAGCUCCAGAUGCUCGUCUUUAGGUACUAGAACACGCUCAUUAUCAGUGGUAUAUGUCGGGUGAUACGUCUCAAAACGUAUCUAUAAUUUUUGAUGGUUUCACGUUGUUAUCUUGUCAACUUUGGAUGUUUUAUUACCUUUUAUAUCUUUUUUGGGACUAACUUAUUAACUCAGUGCCAAGUGCGAGUUCCUGUUUUUUCUAUGUUUUUGACUCUUUUCAGAUCUGAUUUUGGAACGGAGUCCAAAUGGAAUAAAAUCCCCGAAAUGAAUAUUUCCAGAAUGGAAGAAGAUUGGGAGGCUUGAGGCCAAGCAAGUGGGCCCACAGGGGGCCCACAAGCCCUGUUGCCGCGACCAGGGGGGAGGCCGCGGCAACCAAGCUUGUGGCCUCCCUGGCGCUCCCCUGCCCUAGGUCUUUGGCCUAUAAAUUCCCUAAAAAUCCAGAAAAAAUCAGGGCGUCCACAAAAACACUUUUCCGCCGCCACAAGCUUCCGUUUCCGCGAGAUAUCAUCUGGAGACCCUUCCCGGUGCCCUGCUAGAGGGGACUUUGGAGUUGGAGGGCUUCUUCAUCAACAUCAUCGCCCCUCCAAUGACUCAUGAGUAGUUCACUUCAGACCUACGGGUCCGUAGUUAGUAGCUAGAUGGCUUCUUCUCUCUCUUGGAUCUUCAAUACGAAGUUCUCCAUGAUCUUCAUGGAGAUUUAUCCGAUGUAAUCCUCUUUGGCGGUGUGUUUGUCGAGAUCCGAUGAAUUGUGGAUCUGUGAUCAGAUUAUCUAUGAUAUAUAUUUGAGUCUUUGCUGAUUUCUUAUAUGCAUGAUUUGAUAUCCUUGUAAGUCUCUCCGAGUCUUGGGUUUUGUUUGGCCAACUAGAUCUAUGAUUCUUGCAAUGGGAGAAGUGCUUGGUUUUGGGUUCAUACCGUGUGGUGACCUUUCCCAGUGACAGAAAGGGCAGCAAGGCACGCAUCAUGUUGUUGCCAUCAAGGGUAACAAGAUGGGAUUUUAUCGUAGAUAUGAGAUUGUCCAUCUACAUCAUGUCAUCUUGCUUAAGGCGUUACUCUGUUCUCAUGAACUUAAUACACUAGAUGCAUGCUGGAUAGCGGUCGACGUGUGGAGUAAUAGUAGUAGAUGCAGAAAGUAGCGGUAUACUUGUUUUGGAUGUGAUGCCUAUAGAUAUAAUCAUUGCCAUAGAUAACGUCACGACUUUGCGCGGUUCUAUUAAUUGCUCGACAGUAAUUCGUUCAUCCACCGUCUACUUGCUUUCAUGAGAGAAGCCACUAGUGAACACUACGGCCCCCGGGUCUCUUCACACCUAUCGUUUCCACUUUUGCUUUUACUUUGCUUUGUUUCUUUGUUGCUUUCAGUUCUCACUUGGCAAACAAUCUAUAAGGGAUUGACAACCCCUUCAUAGCGUUGGGAGCAAGCUCUUUGUGUUUGUGCAGGUACUUGUGAUAUUCCUUCAUUGGAUCGAUACCUUGGUUCUCAAAAUUGAGGGAAAUACUUACCGCCGCUGUGCUACAUCACCCUUUCCGCUUCGAGGGAACACCAACGCAAGGCUCCAAGGCCACGGGGGAAUCCUUUGCAUAUUUGCCUAGGAAGUCCCUAAAGGCGUAGCCGUAGCAGAAGGAUUCCUGGUGCCGUUGGUGAGGAGUAUCAAGGCAAGAAUAGUCUCCCGUCAGCACGCUUGUUUCUGGCGCCGUUGGAAGGUCUUUUGUUGCAGUAGCACCGGGUAAUGAUGAGAGGUAUCAACCAGCUCUGCCAGAAUGGUUGCAAGGGGUCGGGUCUCCUUCAUGACACGAGCUAACGGGGGGAUAACUCCGGAGUAGGCUCAUCAAGCCUACUCCUCUAUACUUCAGUGUAGAGAGGGGCGAAAGCUUCCUCAAUGACCGGCUCCUCCUGGCCGGCUAUAAAGUCCAUGCUGCCUAAGAGCGUAGCCGUCUACUCUCUGGCCGGCUGGCUAGCCGCCAUCUGGCUGAAGGGCACCUGUCGCAUCGAUCCCCAUGAUGUGACGGGGCCUUCGAUUAAAGGCGAAAGUACCUCAGCACGGGUACGAUGGAGAAGCAUACACAUGGCUACCGUGGCGGCGGCCGUACUGCUAACCGGUGCCGGCUCCGACCCAUCAACAGUGUAAAGUACCCGCAUGCCACUACCAACUCCAUUACCUGGCCCGGCGUGGCUACAGUAGAGACGGCCGUACCGCUGACCGACGCCGGAUCCUGCAAGACGACGUCCGUCGUACCGCACGCACCCUGCAUUGGGAACACGCACCAAUCCAAUAGGCUAGCCGGUGGGUCCCAGGGCCAGAUGGGACCUUGCAGCCGCCGGGCCUCUCGAGCGACAAGACUAAUCCUCAAUGGCCCCCCUAGCCGGCCUGAGAGGCUGCCAGCCGACCCCCCCUAUUGUACCUAUUAUCCAUUUUGUAGGCCGGUGGGUUCGUCUAUAACCCCCCGGCCCCCCUCCAUGCAGAGGGCCAGCCAUUCUCACACCCACACACAUCACACAGGAGAGGCAGAUAGCGAGCCGGCUGCUCCUUCUUCCUCCUCCAUCGAACAGCUCAAGGAGCAUUUUGUAAUCACCUUGGUUCAUCAGCCAUUCCGAUAGGACUAGGGGUAUUAUCUCCCAUGGAGAGCCCCGAACCUGGGUACAUCGUGUGUCUUGCAUUAUUAGCUACCAAUCUCGUUCCCGGAGUCCACCGGUGUCCCUUCAGUCCCAACCACUCUCGAUAAGCCUACCCAUGGCAUUUGUCGUGAGAAAACGACGAUAGUUGGCGCCCACCAUGGGGCCGUCUGCGGCACCGGUCUGAGUUACGCUCGGGCGGGACCCUUCGCCAACCCUACCGGAUGCCUCGCGUCUCGACUGAUCAGCACACCCAUGGAGGCUGCCCCUGCGGAGGUUUCUGUGGUGUUGAUCGACAACUCAGCCCGUCUCGUCGGCUCUGCCAUUGAGAUCACCAACGAGCCUCUCGGUGACGGCGUUGCCCCUGACGUCGCUCGCCUCUGCGUUCUCUUCGACAACCUACGCCUCGAUGAUGAGCCUCGCCAACUUGGCAGGGACAUCGACAUCGAUGCCCUCUGCACACACUUCAACAAACUCAGUCUCGAAGAUGCUCCUGCACACGACGAGUACCUGAUACGUCUCCAACGUAUCUAUAAUUUUUUAUGGUUCCAUGCUAUUAUAUUGUCAAACUUUGGAUGUUUUGUAUGACUUUUAUAUCUUUUUUGGGACUAACUUAUUAACUCAGUGCCAAGUGCCAGUUCCUGUUUUUUCCGUGUUUUGACCCUUUUCACACGAGAAUAUUAAAUGGAGUCCAAACGGAAUAAAACUUCCGAAAAGAUGUUUUCCGGAACAGAAGAUACGCAUGGGGCAUGAGAACCAAGGCAGAGGCCACCAUGGGAGGCCACAAGCCCCCUAGGCGCGUCCAGGGGGACCUGCGCCUAGCAGGCUUGUGGCCCCCCUGUGGCUCGUCUGCCCUACUUCUUCCGCCUAUAAAUCCUCGAAAAAUCCAAAACCACGAGAGAGAUCGACGAAAAUACUUUUCGGCCGCCGCAAGCUUCUGUCCCCGCAAGAUCCCAUCUGGGGCACGUUCUGGUGCCCUUCCGGAGGGGGAUUCGGAUACGGAGGGCUUCUUCAUCAACACCAUUGCCUCUCUGAUGAUGCGUGAGUAGUUCACCCUGGACCUUCGGGUCCAUAGCUAGUAGCUAGAUGGCUUCUUCUCUCUCUUGGAUCUUCAAUACAAAGUUCUCCAUGAUCUUCAUGGAGAUCUAUCCGAUGUAAUAUUCUUUUGCGGUGUGUUUGUCGAGAUCCGAUGAAUUGUGGAUUUCUGAUCAGAUUAUCUAUGAAUCUUAUUUGAGUUUCUUCUGAUCUCUUAUAUGCAUGAUUUCAUAUCCUUGUAAUUCUCUUCGAGUUGUGGGUUUUGUUUGGCCAACUUGAUCUAUGAUUCUUGCAAUGGGAGAAGUGCUUAGUUUUGGGUUCAUACCGUGCGGUGACCUCACCCAGUGACAGAAGGGGUGGCGAGGCACGCAUCGUGUUGUUGCCAUCAAGGGUAAAAGGAUGGGGUUUAUAUCUAUUGCAUGAAGUUAUCCAUCUACAUCAUGUGAUCUUUCUUAAGGCAUUACUCUGUUCGUCAUGAAUUCAAUACACUAGAUGCAUGCUGGAUAGCGGUCGAUGUGUGGAAUAAUAGUAGUUGAUGCAGAAAGUAUCGGUCUACUUGUCUCGAAUGUGAUGCCUAUAUGUAUGAUCAUUGCCUUAGAUAUCGUCAUGACUUUGCGCUGUUCUAUCAAUUACUCGACAGUAAUUUGUUCACCCACCGUAAUAUUUGCUAUUUUGAGAGAAGCCUCUAGUGAACACUAUGGCCCCCGGGUCUACUUCACAUCAUAUUUUCAGCCUUACACUUUUACUUCAUUGCACUUUCCGCCUUCAGAUCUCACUUUGCAAUUAAUCUUGAAGGGAUUGACAACCCCUUUAUAGUGUUGGGUGCAAGCUCGUUUGUGUUUGCGCAGGUACUCUGGACACUUGGCUUGAUUCUCCUACUGGAUUGAUACCUUGGUUCUCAAACUGAGGAAAAUACUUACUGCUACUAUGCUGCAUCACCCUUUCCUCUUCAAGGGAAAAACGAACGCAAGCUCUAGAGGUAACAAGAAGAAUUUCUGGCGCCGUUGCCGGGGAGGAUCAUGUCAAGAAUAGUCUCCCGUCAACGUGUCAAUUUCUGGCACCGGGGAUUAUUCUAAGUGAAGCUUAUCCAAGUAAGUGUCGCAAACUCAUCUCUUGAAUUUACUUUUUUUUGCCUCUAGUUUUCCUCUCCCCCACUUCUGAAAAAAACAAAAAUUUACAAAAAUAUUUUCCUUUUUCGUUCGCCCUUUUCCUUCGCUUGCUUCCUGCCUGCUUGAGUGGGAUAGUCUACCUUUCCUCAUGGCUAGACCUACCGCUUCGAACGAUACUCCCGAGAGCGAAGUUCUCAAUUUUAAACAAAAUUAGGAAGAAGACUUAAAUGACGCUUGGUAUAGGAUUUGCAACACUCAGAGUAGAUCUACUCGUAAGCAAUCUACUACCGUCCUACUUCGCAGCUUUUAUGUGGGUAUUUACCCUUGGAAUAGGUAUGUUCUUGAUACCAUCGUAGGUGGAAGUUUCUUGGGUAGCCAUACCGUUGAUUCUUACGGUGCUUUGAUAAAUCUGGUAGGCUCACCCCCACUCAUGGUUAAUGGAACCAACUUAACUUUGGAACAUGUGAUGCGUAGGUUGGAUAUCAUUGAAAAUAAAGUUGCUACGAUUGAACUCAUUGAGAAUUUGGAUAAAAAGAUCCACAAUCAAAUCACUCAGUACGGAUCCAAGGUGGGAAUGGCUUUGAAAAAUCUAAAGGAGAGGGAACCCACAGUUAACAAAAACUAGGUCAUCAUUCCGCUAGGAUUGGCAAACUAGAGGAUGUUAUAACCAACUUGGGUUCCGCUUUUGCCGCUGUGCAGAACACUCCAAUUUUUACCCACAAUAAGGCCACCAAGUUUGUUUUUGUUCCUAAAAAUAGUGGUGAACCAUCUAGUAAUAUAGAUGAAGACCUUAAGAUGAUGAGGGCUAUUUAUGGUUUGAGCACCAAAGACGAGGAUAUGUGAUUCUUUCACCUUAUGCCUAGCUAAGGGCGUUAAACAAUAACGCUUGUUGGGAGGCAACCCAAUGAAUUUAUAUUUGAUUUUUGCUUUCUGUUUUGUUGCGUCCACACCAUCAUAAUUCUGUUAUGAUUGUGUCUUUUGUGUUUGAGCCAAGUAAAACCUUUAUGACUAGUUUGGUGAUGGUUGUUUGAUCCUGCUGGAAAAAGACAGAAACUUUUCGCUCACGAAAUUAUUUUUCAUUUUAAUCCAUAAAGAGAUUUUGAGUUGAUUCUUUUUGUUGCUGGUUGAUAUGGCAAUUGCCCAAACUGUCGUAAUGUUUCAGAAUUGUUGAGAUACCAGAAGUAUACGAAGUAUACAGAUUGCUACAGACUGGUCUGUUUUUGACAUAUUCUGUUUUUGUUGUGUUGGUUGCUUGUUUUGAUGAAACUAUGUAUAGUAUCGGGGGGGGCGGGUACUGAUACGUCUCCAUCGUAUCUACUUUUCCAAACUCUUUUGCCCUUGUUUUGGACUCUAAUUUGCAUGAUUUGAAUGGAACUAACCCGGACUGACGUUGUUUUCAGCAGAAUUGCCAUGGUGUUGUUUUUGUGCAGAAAUGAAAGUUCUCGGAAUGUCUUGAAACUUUACGGAGAAUAUUUAUGGAAAAUAUGAAAAAUACCUGUGCAAAGAUCCACCGGAGGGGACGGGCCAGUGGGCCACAAGCCCUGUAGCCGCGGCCUCCCCUCUGGUCGCGGCUACGAGGCUUGUGGGGCCCACGUGCCUCUGCCGCCCCCAAUUCCAGCGCUAUAUAUUCCCUUUCAUCCCGGAAAAAAUCAAGAGAGAAGAGUUCAUUGCGUUUCACGAUCCAGAGGCGCCUCCACAUCCCGUUCUUGCCCUGGAGGGCAGAUCUGGAGUCUGUUUUGUGCUCCGGAUCAAGGAGAUCGUCGCCAUCGUCAUCAUCAACCUUCUUCCCUCUCCAAUUCCAUGAAACUCUUCAUCGUUCGUGAGUAAUCUAUUCAUAGGCUCGCUGGGCGGUGAUGAGUAUGAUGAGAUCUAUCAUGUAAUCGAGUUAGUUUUGACGGGGAUUGAUCCCUAGUAUCCACUAUGUUCUGAGAUUGAUGUUGCUACUACUUGGCUAUGCUUAAUGCUUGAAACUAGGGCCCGAGUGCCAUGAAUUCAGAUCUGAACCUAUUAUGUUGUCACCAAUAUAUGUGUGUUUUAGAUCCGAUCUUGCAAGUUGUAGUUACCUACUAUGUGUUAUGAUCCGGCAACCCCGGAGUGACAAUAACCGGAACCACUCUCAUUGAUGACCAUAGUUUGAGGAGUUUAUGUGUUCACCAAGUGCUAAUGCGUUGGUCCGGUUCUUUAUUAAAAGGAGAACCUUAAUAUCCCGUAGUAUCCAUUUGGACCCCGCUGCCACGGGAGGGAUGGACAAUAGAUGUCAUACAAGUUCUUUUCCCUAAGCACGUAUGACUACACACGGAAUGCAUGCCUACAUCACAUUGACGAACGGGAGCUAGCCACAUAUCUCUCCGUGUUAUAACUGUUGCAUGAUGAAUGUCAUCCAACAAAUCACUGAUCCAUUGCCUACGAGUUUGUCCCACUGCUAUUGUUACUUGCUGCUGCUGUUACUUGCUUUGCUCUGCUGCUGUUACUACGGUUGCUGCUACUGUUACUUGCUUCUACUAUUACUUGCUUCGUCAUGCUGCUGCUGCUACUACUGUUGCUACUACUGUUACUUGCUGUUGCUGUUACUUGCUACUGUUGCUAAUUGCUACUCCUAUCACUACUGCUGUUCCUUGCCACUACUGUUACUCGUUACACUGCUGCUACCUGCUACAAUACUUUUCUGGUGCCAUUGAUACUUCAGUUAGGAAUAAUCUGUCGUCAACAGAUUCUUUCCUAGCACCGUUGCUAUCAUACUACCUUUGCUGCUUAUAUACUGCUUGCAGAUACUAAUCUUUCAAUUGUGUUUGAGCCAACAACUCAACUGCUAAUACUGGAGAAUAUCCUUUCAUUCCCAUCGUGUCGAACCAACAAAUUUGGGUUGAAUACUCUACCCUCAAAACCUGCCGCGAUCCCACACGCUGGUGGGCCAUUGCAAGACAAUUGCUAAUUGUUGAGCAACUGGAAACAACUCUUUUUUGGCACCGUUGCCGAGGAGGAAUAGCUAUAUUCUCUGAGUCACUUGGGAUUUAUAUCUUGUGAUCACUAUGAAGAAUCGGAAAGAUCUGAGAACCAAAGUCUUGCCCUCAACUCUGAGGGGAGGUAAGGAACUGCCAUCUAGCUCUGCACUUGAUUCACCUUCAGUUAUGAGUAAGUUUGCGACACCACCUCGUGCUAGAAAUCUUGAUAUGUCGCGUGUGCUAGAUGAUGCUAGAGAUGCUACUGCUAUUGAUGAUGCUUAUGAUGAUACUAUGCCUGAUACUGCUAGAGAUGCUAUGCGUGAUACUGCUAGAGAUGCUAUGCCUGAUACUGCUAUCCAUGAUGCUAUGCUUGAUGCUGCUUUGCCUGAUGAUGCUAGAGAUGCUAUUUUGCCUGAUUAUGCUAUGCUUGAUACUGCUAGAGAUACUACUUUGCCUGAUAUGCCACUAGGGGUAUUCCUUGAUGCUCAUAUUGCUAGAGUUAUUGCCAAUGCUCGUGAUGCUUCUGAAACUCUCGAUACUAUUGAGAUAGAACCUGCUUUUGCUCCUGCUAGAUCUAGCUCUCCUAGAUAUGAAUUGCCUGAUAUACCUGAGGGUUAUGUUAUGGAGGGAGAGAUAGCUGAGGAUUUUCUUGCGUGUAAGGAUGGCUAUGACGCUGAGAAAUUACUUCUCAAGUGGAAGGAAAAAUCUCUGAAAGCUAGGAUGAAAUACAACCCGAAGUUUGCCACUUCACCUAUCUUUAUCACCGAUGAGGAUUAUGAAUUCUCUGUCGACCCUGAGAUAAUCUCUCUUGUCGAAUCUGAUCCUUUCCACGGUAAUGAGUUUGAGACGGUCGUAGCCCAUCUUACCAAACUACACGAUAUAGCCACCCUUUUCACUAGUGAGGAGAAGAUCCGCUACUACUAUAUCCUUAAGUUGUUUCCUUUCUCUCUAAAGGAUGACGCUAAAUCCUAGUUCACUUCUCUUGCUCCUGGAUGUGUGAGUAGUCCCCAGGAUAUGGUCUAUUACUUCUGUGAGAAAUAUUUCCCUGCCCAUAAGAAGCAAGCUGCCUUGCAGGAAAUAUACAACUUUGCUCAACUCAAAGAAGAGUGUCUCCCACAAGCUUGGGGGAGGCUCAUCCAGCUACAGAAUGCUUUGCCUGAUCACCCUCUUAAGAAGAACGAGAGACUUGAUAUCUUCUAUAACAGACUUACCGAUGCUUCUAGAGACCACCUAGAUAGUUGUGCCGGUUGUGUUUUUAGGGAACGAAUUGUAGAACAAGUUGAGAUCCUACUGAAUAACAUCUUGAUCAACAAUAAUGCUUGGACUAUUCCCGAACCACCUCCUAAGCCAUAUCCCAAGAAAAGAGGUAUUCUAUUCCUCAGUCCUGAAGAUAUGCAAGAAGCCAAGAAAUCUUUGCAAGAGAAAGGCAUUAGAUCUGAAGAAAUCAAAAAUCUACCGCCUAUCGAAGAGAUCCAUGCUCUCGAUAACCCGAUACAAGUAGUAGAGGUGAAUUCUCUGCGUAGAUUCAAUGAGAGUGAUAUUCCUUUUGAUAAACCUGCUAGCCUAUGCUUUGAUGAAUUUGACAACUUUGUUGCCAAACAACAAAGUUUCAAUGAUUAUGUUAGCAGACAAUUGGAACAACGUACUCACAUGCUUAGUCAUUUAAGUGCUUGUGUAGAGAGAAAUGUCAAUGAUCUGAAGCUUCUGAGUAAACAUGCCUCAAUGAUUACUACUCAGGUAGAACAAGUACUUAAAGCUCAGAAUGACGUGCUCAAUGAAUUAAUGACAACUCUGUCAGAGUCAUUACUAGAGGAGGCAAAAUGACUCAGGAACCCUUGUAUCCUGAAGGCCAUCCUAAGAGAAUUGAUCAACAUUCUCAAGGUAUUAAUGCUCAUACACCCAGUCAUCCUAAGAAUAAGAAGAAGGAUGAUAGAAACCUACAUGUCAGUUCACCAAAUACUGUAACACCUGAAGAACCAAAUGAUAUUUCUGCGUCUGAUGCAGAAACACAAUCUGGUGAUGAACAUGAACCUGGUGACAAUAUGGACAGCGAUGUUCAUAAUAAUGCUCAACCUAGCAAUGAUAAGGAUGUGGAGAUUGAACCUACGGUUAAUCCUGAUAACCCACAACCUAAGAGGUACGAUAAGAAUGACUUCACUGCUAGGAGGCAUGGUAAAGAAAGGGAGCCAUGGGUUCAGAGACCCAUGCCCUUUCCUCCUAAGCCAUCCAAGAAAAAGGAUGAUGAUGAUUUUGAGCGCUUUAUUGAAAUGUUGAGACCCGUCUUUCUGCGUAUGCGGUUAAUUGAUAUGCUCAAAAUGUCUCCAUAUGCCAAGUACAUGAAAUAUAUCGUGACCAAUAAACGGAAGAUACCAGAUCUUGAGAUCUCCACCAUGCUUGCCAAUUACACUUCCAAAGGUGGAACUCCUAAGAAACUUGGUGAUCCCGGAGUGCCCACUAUACCUUGCUCCAUUAAAGGAAACUACGUAAGAACUGCCUUAUGUGACCUUGGAGCCGGUGUUAGUGUUAUGCCUCUCUCUCUCUUUAUCGUAGACUUGAACUGGAUAAGUUGACACCCACUGAAAUUUCUCUGCAAAUGGCCGACAAAUCAACUGCUUUCCCUGUCAGCAUUUGCGAGGAUGUGCCUGUUGUGGUUGCUAACGUUGCUAUCUUAACGGACUUUGUUAUCCUGGAUAUUCCUGAGGAUGAUGCCAUGGCGAUCAUUCUUGGAAGACCAUUCUUAAACACUGCAAGGGCUGUUAUAGAUUGCAGCAAAGGCAAUGUCACCUUCCAUGUCAACGGUAAUGAGCAUACAGUGCACUUUCCAAAGAAACGAUAUCAAGUACAUUGCAUCAAUGCUAUCGAAAAAACAUCAUCGAUUCUUAUUGGGAGCUUUGAAUUCCCUAUUCCUCGUGUUAAGAUGAAGUAUGAUUUGCUUGUUGGGGAGAUUCAUGUCCCCAUUGAGGUGACUUAGUGGCUAUUCGACAAUUCUCUGUUUCCUUUUGCGAUUCGAAAAGGUUUUGUCGAGGGGAUUUGAUCAACCCCAUUGACGGAUUUCUUUCGAUGACCAUGAAAUGGAUGAAUCAAGGAGUCACAUACCUCUGUUUUAAGCUUUCACUUUCUGUUGUUUAGAAGGAAAAAUGAUAGAUUUAGUUUAGUUUUUCCUGUUUUCUGUUUUAGCGUCCCAGAGAAAAGUAUCCCGAAAAUAGAAGUUCUACGAUGGCCCUGAAAAUCAAAUAUGAUUUUUUCUGGUUUUUUUGAAAAAUACUGGGACUGAGAGCUGGCCUGGGAGCCACACCAGUGGGCCACAAGCCCUGUAGCCGCGGCCUCCCCUGGCCGCGGCUACCAAGCUUGUGGGGCCCACAGGGACCCCCUCCACUCAUUCUAGCUCCCAUCCUCUUCUUCUACCUCCAGAAAAAAUCGUUUUACAGCUCCAACCCGUGCUCUUGCUCAUUUGGCUGUGAUUUUCGAUCUCCUUGCUCAAAGCACCAUUCUACGAACCGUUUUGGGGAAAUUACUCCUUGGUAAGUGACUCCUCCAUUGGUCCAAUUAGUUACUCUAGUGCUUUAUCCUUCGCGUAUUCUUUCUACCUUGGUGACCCUGUUCUUGAACUUGAAAUGUUGAUUUUAGUUCGUCCCAAGUAGUUUUAACGCGUGAUACGGUCUCUAGGCACUAGUAGGAGUAGUUGCUACAAGGUUUGGUUGGUCUUUAUUCACUUUUCUCUUGAACUUCAAAAAUUUCAGCAAAAAUAAAUUAUGUUUAGGAGGAAGUUUCAUGGUGGUUCCUCAAGUAAGAAGGGUCCCCGUCUUUCUAUUAAGGAGCCCGAUCCUUAUGAACUAAGGGACGCACCGGUACAACCAUGUGAAUGGCCUUCCGAUGAGUUCAUGAUCGAAGCAGGCUUCAAGGAUGAGUUUGAUACACUUGUCCACAAUGCCGAGUUAGAAGAAUUCCUCUCAGAUAAAUGUGAACAGUAUGCUAUGCUCACUGCCUCUUUCAUGCGUAGAUUUAAAUUUUUAGUUGGCCGUGACUCAUCCAUACUGUUUGAUCUGUAUGAUAAAUCCUACACCAUGGAUUUGGAGGAUUUCAAUAGGAUUUGCAAGAUACCCGAUGGGGGUAGUCUUAAUGAUCCUGCUAAGUCUUCGGUUAGAUAUUUUUUUUCUCUAGUAUAACUGUUGGAGAAACUAGAGACAUCACGCAAGCUACCAUAGGAAGCAUUCAUUUCCCUGCCUUGCACUACUUUGCCCUCUUCAUAGGUAGAUGCAUUAACGGCAAGGUUGAACAUUGUCACCUAUGCGCAUCCGACCUUAGUAUCCUUAAGAGCGCAAUAACAGGUGACAGGAGCUUCAACAUGGGAGCUAUAAUAGCAAGGAGGCUGAAUAAUAAUGCCAUUGAUAUUAGUUUACCGUGAGACCUAUGUGUCACUUGCUUAUGUGGUUAACUUGUGAUCUUGCUGAAAUUCUGGUUAUGAGUUAGACAUAGUUGCAACAUCAAGAUCAAACAGAGUUUGUCAAAGUUUUUCGUUCUCUUUUAGUUUGUCAACUGAGUUGCUUGAGGACAAGCAAGGUUUUAAGCGUGGGGGAGUUGAUACGUCUCCAUCGUAUCUACUUUUCCAAACUCUUUUGCAAUUGUUUUGGACUCUAAUUUGCAUGAUUUGAAUGGAACUAACCCGGACUGACGCUGUUUUCAGCAGAAUUGCCAUGGUGUUGUUUUUGUGCAGAAAUGAAAGUUCUCGGAACGUCUUGAAAAUUUACGGAGAAUAUUUCUGGAAAAUAUGAAAAAUACCUGCGCAAAGAUCCACCGGAGGGGACGGGCUAGUGGGCCACAAGCCCUGUAGCCGCGGCCUCCCCCCUGGUCGCGGCUACCAGGCUUGUGGGGCCCACGUGGCUCUGCCGCCCCCAAUUCCAGCACUAUUUAUUCCCUUUCGUCCCGGAAAAAAUCAGGAGAGAAGAGUUCAUCGCGUUUCACGAUCCAGAGGCGCCGCCACAUCCCGUUCUUGCCCUGGAGGGUAGAUCUGGAGUCCGUUUUGGGCUCCGGAUCAAGGAGAUCGUCGCCAUCGUGAUCAUCAACCUUCUUCCCUCUCCAAUUCCAUGAAGCUCUUCAUUGUUCGUGAGUAAUCUAUUCGUAGGCUCGCUGGGCGGUGAUGAGUAGGAUGAGAUCUAACAUGUAAUCGAGUUAGUUUUGACGGGGAUUGAUCCCUAGUAUCCACUAUGUUCUGAGAUUGAUGUUGCUACUACUUGGCUAUGCUUAAUGCUUGUCACUAGGGCCCGAGUGCCAUGAAUUCAGAUCUGAACCUAUUAUGUUGUCACCAACAUAUAUAUGUGUUUUAGAUCCGAUCUUGCAAGUUGUAGUUACCUACUAUGUGUUAUGAUCCGGCAACCCUGGAGUGACAAUAACCGGAACCACUCCCGGUGAUGACCAUAGUUUGAGGAGUUCAUGUGUUCACCAAGUGCUAAUGCGUUGGUCCGGUUCUUUAUUAGAAGGAGAACCUUAAUAUCCCGUAGUAUCCAUUUGGACCCCGCUGCCACGGGAGGGAUGGGCAAUAGAUGUCAUACAAGUUCCUUUCCCUAAGCACGUAUGACUACACACAGAAUGCAUGCCUACAUCACAUUGACGAACGGGAGCUAGCCACAUAUCUCUCCGUGUUAUAACUGUUGCAUGAUGAAUGUCAUCCAACAAAUCACCGAUCCAUUGCCUACGAGUUUGUCCCACUGCUAUUGUUACUUGCUGCUGCUGUUACUUGCUUUGCUCUGCUGCUGUUACUACUAUUGCUGCUACUGUUACUUGCUUUGUCAUGCUGCUGCUGCCACUACUGUUGCUACUACUGUUACUUGUUGUUGCUGUUACUUGCUACUGUUGCUACUUGCUACUGCUGUCACUACUGCUGUUCCUUGCCACUGUUGUUACUCGUUACACUGCUGCUACCUGCUAGAAUACUUUUCUUGCGUCAUUGAUACUUCAGUUAGGAAUAAUCUGCCGUCAACAGAUUCUUUCCUAGCACUGUUGCUAUCAUACUACCUUUGCUGCUUAUAUCCUGCUUGCAGAUACUAAUCUUUCAGGUGUGGUUGAGCCGACAACUCAACUGCUAAUACUUGAGAAUAUCCUUUCACUCCCAUUGUGUCGAACCAACAAAUUUGGGUUGAAUACUCUACCCUCGAAAACUGCCGCGAUCCCACACGCUGGUGGGCCAUUGCAAGACAAUUGCUAAUUGUUGAGCAUCUGGAAGUAGGUACUAGCCAUGGAAAAGUGAGAAUACAGUAAUCUAACACCAAUAUAAAUAGAAAUCAAGUUUGCUACAGUACCUCAAGAGGUGGUAGUUUGUUUUCUUGUGCUAAUAAUAUCACGAGUUUCUGUUUAAGUUUUGUGUUGUGAAGUUUUCAAGUUUUGAGUGAUGUUCUCAUGGCCAAAGGGAUAAAGAGUGGAAAGAGCUCAAUCUUGGGGAUGCCCAAGGCACCCCAAGACAAAUUCAAGGACACCAAAAAGCCUAAGCUUGGGGAUGCCCCGGGAAGGCAUCCCCUCUUUCGUAUUCAAUCCAUCGGUAACAUUACUUCGAGCUAUAUUUUUAUUCACCACAUGGUAUGUGUUUUGCUUGGAGCGUCUUGUAUCGUAGGAGUCUUUUAUUUUUGUUGUGUCACAAUCAUCCUUGCUGCACACCUUUGGAGAGAGACAUGCACUCAUCCUGAUUUUGCUAGAAUACUCUUUGAGCUUCACUUAUAUCUUUUGAGUUAGGCAAUUUAGCUCACAUGCGCUUCACUUCGAUCUUUUAGAGCACGACAGUGUUAUAUUUUGGAGAAAUAAGGACUCUCGAUCUUCACUUAUAUCUUUUUGAGAGUGAUCUCUCUGAGUAACUUGGUAGUUGGCUUGUGCUAUGAAAGUAGUCCCAAAGGUGAUAGGAAUCCAAAGAGCAUACGAUGAAACUUCCAUCUUCUUGUUCAUUGAUUAGAAAGAGAAGUUUGAUUCCUCUCAAUUAGUUUUGAGAUAUGGAUUUGGUGAUACUAAGAGUUAUGUUAGUAGGGUGUUGUGAAUCUAGAAAUACUUGUGUUGAAGUUAGUGAUUAACGUAACAUGCACGUAUGGUGAACCGCUAUGUUAGGAAGUCAGAGCAUAAUUGAUCUAUUGAUUGUCAUCCUUUGUGUUGCGGUCGGGAUCGCGCGAUGGUUAACACCUACGAACCCUUCCCCUAGGAGUAUGCGUUUAGCACUUUGUUUUGAUUACUAAUAAAAACUUUCGCAAUAAGUAUGGGAGUUCUUCAUGACUAACGUGAGUCCAUGGUAUAGAUGCACUUUCACCUUCCACCAUUGCUAGCCUCUUUAGUGCCGCGCAACUUUCAUCGGUGCACAAACCCACCAUAUGCCUUCCUCAAAACAGCCACCAUAAGUACCUACUAUGGCAUCUUCAUAGCCAUUCCCAGAUAUAUUGCCAUGCAACUCCCACCGUUCCAUCUCAUGACUUGUGCCGUCACUUUCAUAUUGCCAUUGCAUGAUCGUAAGAUAGCUAGUGAGUCAUAUGCCAAGCUAGAUCGUUGCACAUCCCGGUACAUUGCCGGAGGCAUUUCCUAUAAGAGUCAUCAUUGUUCUAAGCAUUGAGCUUUUAGUAAAUUAAAGUGUGAUGAUCAUCAUUAUUAGAGCAGUGUCCCAUGUGAGUAAAUAAAAAAAAGGCCAAAGUGGCCCACAAAAAAAUAUAUAUGGAAAGAGGCCAAAGAGCCCCCAAAAAAGGAAGAGAGAAAAAGAGAGAAUGGACAAUGCUACUAUCUUUUUCCACACUUGUGCUUCAUAAUAGCACCAUGUUCUUCAUGAUUGAGAGUCUCUUGAUUUGUCACCACCAUAUGCUAGUGGGAAUUUUCGUUAUAUAACUUGGCUUAUAUAUUCCAAUGAUGGGAUUCCUCAAAAUUGCCCUAGGUCUUGACGAGCAAGCAAGUUGAAUGCACACCCACUAGUUCUUCUUUUGAGCUUUCACAUACUUAUAGCUCUAAGUGCAUCCAUUGCAUGGUAAUCCCUACUCUUUCACAUUGAUAUCUAUUAAUGGGCAUCUCCAUAGCCCUUUGAUACGCCGAGUCGAUGUGACCAUCUCCUCCUUUUUGUCUCACAACCUCCACCACACUCUAUUCCACCAUAGUGCUAUAUCCAUGGCUCAUGCUCAUGUAUUGCAUGAGAGUUGAAAAAGGUUUGAGAACGUAAGAGUGCGAAAACAAUUACUUCGCCAAUACCGGGGUUGUGCAUGAUUUAAAUUAGUUGUGUGGGGAUGAUGGAGCAUAGCCAGACUAUAUGAUUUUGUAGGGAUAACUUUCUUUGGCCUUGUUAUUUCGAAUGUUUAUGAUUACCUUGCUAGUUUUCUUGAAGUAUUAUUGUUUUCAUGUCAAUAGCAAGCUAUUAUUUGAAUCUUACGGAUCUGAACAUUCAUGUCACAUGAAAUAAGUUACAAAGGACAAAGAUGCUAGGUAGCAUUCCACAUCAAAAAUUCAGUCUUUAUCACUUCCCUACUCGAGGACGAGCUGGAGUUAAGCUUGGGGAUGCUUGAUACGUCUCCAACGUAUCUAUAAUUUUUGAUGGUUACAUGCUAUUAUCUUGUCAAACUUUGGAUGUUUUGUAUGCCUUUUAUAUCUUUUUUGGGACUAACUUAUUAACUCAGUGCCAAGUGCCAGUUCCUAUUUUUUUCGUGUUUUUGACCCUUUUCAGAGGAGAAUAUUAAACGGAAUCCAAAAGGAAUAAAACUUCCGAAAAGGUUUUUUCCGGAACAGAAAAUACGCAGGGGGCGUGAGAACCAAGGUAGAGGCCACCAGGGGAGGCCACAAGGCCCCUAGGCGCGGCCAGGGGGGCCUGACUCUGUGACAACAGACCUUCCCCUGCAACGGCACCAGAAGAAUGCUGCUAGCACUCCCCGGCAAUCGAAACUAGAAGAAUAUUGUUGACGGCCCACCAGCGCGUGGGAUCGAGGCAGUUUUCGAGGGUAGAGUAUUCGAACAAAAUUUGUUGAUACGCCAGUAGGAGGUGAGACGAUACUCUCAAGUAUUAGCAGUUGAAUGUGUCAGAUUCAACCAGACGUGAAAGAUUAGUAUCUGCAAGCAAAGUAUCAUCAGCAAAGUAGUAUGAUAACAACGGUGUCAGAAACGAUCUGUUGACGGCAGACUAUUCCUAACGAUUGUAUCAAUGGUGCCAGAAGUUGCCCGUUGACGGAAAUUGUCUGUUCCCGUCAACGCCGAGCGAACAAAAAUUGUAACAGGUAGCAGCAGUGAAACGAGUAACAGCAGUGGCAAGGAACAGCAGUAGUGACAGCAGUAGCAAGUAGCAACAGUAGCAAGUAGCAGCAGAGCAAGCGACAGUAGUAACAGCAGCAGUGGGACAAACUUGUAGGCAAUGGGUCCGUGAUUCGUUCGGAUGAUAUUCAUCAUGCAACAGUUAUAAGACGGAGAGAUAUGUGGCUAGCUCCCGUUCGUCAAUGUGAUGUAGGCAUGCAUUCCGUGUGUAGUCAUACGUGCUUAGGGAAAAGAACUUGCAUGACAUCUAUUGUCCAUCCCUCCCGUGGCAGCGGGGUCCAAAAGGAUACUACAGGAUGUUAAGGUUCUCCUUUUAAUAAAGAACCGGAACAACGCAUUAGCACUUGGUGAACACAUGAACUCCUCAAAGUAUGGUUAUCAUCAGGAGUGGUUCCGGUUANGCCGCAAGCUUCUGUCUCCGCAAGAUCCCAUCUGGGGCACAUUCUGGUGCCCUGUCGGAGGGGGGAUUCGGAUACGGAGGGCUUCUUCAUCAACACCAUUGACUCUCCGAUGAUGCGUGAGUAGUUCACCAUAAACCUUCGGGUCCAUAGCUAGUAGCUAGAUGGCUUCUUCUCUCUCUUGGAUCUUCAAUACAAAGUUCUCCAUGAUCUUCAUGGAGAUCUAUCCGAUGUAAUCUUCUUUUGCGGUGUGUUUUUCGAGAUCCGAUGAAUUGUGGAUUUAUGAUCAGAUUAUCUAUGAAUCUUAUUUGAGUUUCUUCUGAUCUCUUAUAUGCAUGAUUUCAUAUCCUUGUAAUUCUGUUCGAGUUGUGGGUUUUGUUUGGCGAACUUGAUCUAUGAUUGUUGCAAUGGGAUAAGUGCUUUGUUUUGGGUUCAUACCGUGCGGUGACCUCACCCAGUGACAAAAGGGGUAGCGAGGCACACAUCAUGUUGUUGGCAUCAAGGGUAAAAAGAUGGGGUUUAUACCUAUUGCAUGAACUUAUCCCUCUACAUCAUGUCAUCUUGCUUAAAGCGUUACUCUGUUUGUCAUGAACUCAAUACACUAGAUGCAUGCUGGAUAGCGGUCGAUGUGUGGAGUAAUAGUAGUAGAUGCAGAAAGAAUCGGUCUUCUUGUCUCGGACGUGAUGCCUAUAUGUAUGAUCAUUGCCUUAGAUAUAAUUUGCCCUUCCGACCCGCUGCAUGCCACCCUUGUCGAGCUGACUACUCCCAUCGCCCCAACGGCUAAUACAACGCUGACUAGGGCUGAGGUGGAAGAGGCUCGCAAACAACUACUAGUGGAGGGCACCGCCCUUGCCACCUCCAAGCGCUGGAUGAAGGCGGCACGGCGUGAGUACAACUCCGCUUAUGGCUUCACCCCAGCCGCUGACGGACCCAGCCGGCUCGGCGACCUCCGCUGUCGCGGUCGGGUUGUUGCCGAAAUCCUAGGCGGCCAGCUACCCAUCUAUGACACUCCUGCGGCAAACAUGCGGGCCGCCCAGGCGGCCCAUGAAGAGAUGGAUGCCCUGCAGGGCGAGGAGCGGGUGCGUUAAGAAAAGUGCGUCAAGGACCUCCUCACUGCCGCCAAGGAGCAACAGGAUCGCCUCGAUCCUGCCCGUGCUUUCUCCGUAUCUCCGGCCUUCGACAUCGAAGGUUAUGAUGUCCCCAACGACCGUCAGCAAGCUCAGCAUUCUUCCUCCCAUCGUAAAUCCGACCAGAAGGCCGAGGGAAGCCGUGAGUAGCAUUCCCAACGCCGGAGAGAGCAUCACGCAGUAUCUAGCCGGCUCGGCGAGCCGGCUGGAACUAGAGGAGGCUCAGUUCAUGAAGUUCCCCCGCCUGAGCGGUGGGAGAAGGCCAGCACACCCGUGCCCGCAAUCCGGCCUGAGCUCGCGGCUUGGAUCGGCCCUCGCGUCCUUCGCAGCAAGAGCGAUGCUCGCACACGCAUCGACCUUCUGGCGCAGUCGGCCCUCCUGGAGGAGGAGGGUCCCAUUGGUCCGACGUGCUUCGGUCCUCGGAUCCGAGGGGAGGCGUUCCCGUCCGGCUUCACCGUCCCCCGCGAUACUACGAAAUACAACGGCUCUGGCAAGCCGAAAGACUGGCUGAUCGACUACAUCACUGCAGUCGGCAUUUCUCGGGGCAACAAGCGUGUUGCCGUCUGCUACGUGACACUCAUGCUGACCGGCUCGACAAGAACUUGGCUUAACAGUCUGCCAGCUGGCAACAUCAACUCUUGGGUUGACUUUGAAGAUGCUUUCGUCCGCAACUUCACUCGCACCUACAAGCGCCCUGGCCACGCCCGUGAGCUGGCCAUGUGCGUUCAGAAGCCCGACAAACCCCUCUGUGACUACAUCAUGCACUCGACGGAGUUGCACAACUCCUGCGAAGGAGUGCAUGAAGUACAAGCCAUUCAAUACUUCACUAAAGACUGUCGAGACGACACCCUUCUCAAGCACAAACUCAUGUGCUGCGAACCUACCUCUUUGGCAGCACUCAUGGACAAGGCGGAUAAAUACACUACUGCCAACUCUGCCAUGAGGAUCAAGGUCAGCGCGACGGACAAACCCGACCAACCGCCGGCUACAACUAAGCCGGUGGCGACAACUGAGGCGGGCAAAACAACAAGCGCAAGGCGGAUCAGCAAGACCCGUGAGCUUGAAGCAAGCAGGUGGCAAACAUGGAGGAAGAGCAGCCGGCUGCGCAAGACGACGCUCAGCAACAACGAACCGGCAAGAACACCUGACAGCCCAAGCUCACAUUCGAGUAGAUGCUCGACGCGCCUUGCAAGAUGCAUUCCGGGGCAAAGCCAGCCACCCACACACUCCGGUAGUGCAGCUUCUCACAGCGCCUGGCCCGCUGGCGGCUCCCCCGGGGGUGGCUCCUCGAGGUCCGACUCCCGGGCCGGGUCCGGCUCCAGCUCAACCGCCCCCAAUGACGGCCGUCUUCAUGACCAAUUCCCCAAGAAGGACGGGCCUACAUCGUCUUUACCAGCGAGGGCGAUGACAAGCAUAGUGAGCGUCAGCGCCGACAUGAGGUGAAUGCAACGGUCCUCUCGGUUCCCCAAUACACGCAUUGGUCUAAAAAGCAAAUUACAUGGAGCCAGGCGGACCAUCCCGCGGUGAUGCCGAAUCCUGGCACAUACGCGCUCGUCCUCGUCCCCACCAUCGCCUCCAAGAGACUCACAUGUACGUUCUCGCAGGUGCUCGUCGACGGCGGUAGCAUCAUGAACAUCCUCUACCGUGACACCAUGCUCGAGCUCGGGCUGAAGGAGAAGGACCUACAACCGACCAGGACUGUCUUCCACGACAUUGUGUCGGGGCAGUCUUGCUCGCCUAUCGGCAAAAUCCAGGUGGACUUCCUCUUUCGCGACAAGUCGCACUUCCACCGCGAGCCGGUCUGGUUCAAGGAGGUGGACCUCAACAACCCGUACCAUGCGCUGCUAGGAAGGCCGGCGCUGGCCAAGUUCAUGGCUAUCCCCCAUUACACCUACCUCAAGAUGAAGAUGUCGGGUCCCAAGGGCAUUAUCACUGUUGCCGGCAACUCCAAGAAGUCAAUCGAGUGUGGGUGCAACAGCAGCCGGCUGGCCGAGGCACUGGUGAUUGCACAGGAGAAGAGGCAGCUCAACCGGCUCAUGGCUGAGGCUACCGAGCAGCCGCCCGUGCCAACUCCUCCGUCCCAAUCAGACGGCGAGGCCUCAUUCGAGCCGUCCAAGGGAACCGGGCAAGUGCCACUCGACCCAGCCAACCCCAAGUAGUGCGUGACCAUCGGCGCCAACCUUAGCCCCAAAUAGGAAGGUGAGCUCGUCGACUUCCUCAGUGAGAAUCGAGAUAUCUUUGCAUGGUCCCCCAAGGACAUGUCGGGAGUUCCAAGGAACUACGCCGAGCACAAGCUUCAUGUGCAACCUAAUGCAAAGCCGGUCAAACAACCUUUGUGCCGCUUUGCUGAGGGGAAGCGACACACAAUCGGAGAAGAGAUCGCUUGGCUACUUGCAACCGGCUUCAUCAUGGAAGUUUCCCACCCGGACUGACUGGCCAACCCAGUCCUGGUGCAGAAGAAAAACAAAACAUGGUGCAUGUGUAUCGACUACACAAGCCUGAAUAUGGCAUGUCUGAAGGAUCCCGUCGCCCUGCCACGGAUAGAUCAAGUGACUGACUCCACGGUCGGCUACGAUUUGUUGUCCUUUGUGGACGCUUAUUCCGGCUACCACCAGAUCAAGCUGGACCCGGCCGACCGGCUCAAGACCUCCUUCAUCACACCUUCUGGAGCCUACUGCUACACGAUGAUGACAUUUGGCCUAAAGACUAUAGGCGCCACCUUCCAGCGUUGCAUGCAAUAAUGCCUCCUGCCGCAAAUCGGCAGGAACAUACACGUCUGCAUCGACGAAAUCGUCGUCAAGACCAAGAAGUAUUUCAGUCUCCUUGACGAUUUGUCGGAGACCUUUGCCAACUUGCACGAGUACAAGAUCCAUGUCAAUCCAGAGAAGUGCGUAUUCGGAGUACCAACCGACAAGCUCCUGGGUUUCUUCGUGUCGGCUCGCGGCAUCGAAGCUAACCCCGAGAAGACCAGAACAAUCGAGUGCAUGGCCAAGCCGGCUCAACUCCUCGACGUCUAGAAGUUUGCCGGCUGCCUAGCAUCCCUCAGCCGGUUUGUUAGACGGCUGGGUGAGAAGGCACUACCACUCUAUCAGCUGAUGAAGAAGACAACCAAAUUCGAGUGGAAUGAUCAAGCGGACGAAGCAUUCCGCGACCUCAAGUGCGUGAUCUCCAGCACGCAAAUCUUGGCCACGCCGGCGGAGAGGGAACCCAUCCUCAUCUAAAAUGCGACAACCAUGCGCGUGGUCAGUGUCGUCUUGGUGGUGGAGCGAAAGGAGGAGGGCAAUGUGCUGCUGGUCAGCGCCCUGUCUACCAUCUAAGCGAAGUCUUGUCCGCCUCCAAGCAAAACUACCCCAUUUUCAAAAGAUGUGCUAUGGCGUGUAUUUUGCCACCAAGAAGCUGAAGCAAUACUUCCAGGAGCAUGCCAUCACGGUGGUGAGCACAACUCCACUUUCAGAAAUCAUGGGCAACUGUGAUGCUAUGGGCCAGAUUGCCAAGUGGUCCAUCUCCAUGGCCGACCAUGACAUCCGCUAUGAGCUGUGCACCGCCAUCAAGUCUCAAGUGGUGGCCGACUUCCUCGUCGAUUGGGCCGAGACCCAGUUCCUACCACCGCCUCCUGACUCCACACAUUGGCGGAUACAUUUCGACGACUCCAAGAUGCGAACCGGCCUGGGAGCCGGCAUUGUCCUGACGUCCCCGAAAGGGGCCAACUCAAAUAUGCUCUGUAGAUACACUUCGCCUCCUCCAACAACGUCACCGAGUACGAGGCACUUGCACACGCCCUCUGACUUGCUAGAGAGAUCGUCAUCCAGCGGAUUCUUUGCUUCAGCGACUCUGACCUCGUGGUGCAGCAAGUCUUUCGCGAGUGGGAUGCCAGGGACGCCAACAUGGCCAGCUACCGCUUCCCCAUCCAGCAGCUUAGUGGCCCUUUCGAGGGCUGCGAGUUCCAUCAUGUCCCCCGAGCAGACAAUGAGGCAGCAGAUACAUUGGCACAAAUGGGCUCCACAAGGCAAGCAAUCCCGACCGGCGUCUCCCUCGAACAGCUGCACAAGCCUUCCAUCAAGCCGUCUCGAGCGUCGUCAUCGAUCUUCGUGCCUGCAGACCCGUCCGUCCCAAUGACUUUAGGUACGAAGACGCUUCAUCAACUCCGCCGGCUCGGCCCGUUCUGCCAGCUCCGUCAGCUUUGCUGGCUCCGGUUACCUUGCCGACACCAACUACUCUGCCGGCUAUGCCAAACCUCGAACCCAGUCGGCUCAACACCCAGUGGGUGGCCGUCAUGGAGGUUGAUGGCAUGCCGGCUUCCACGACGACACCAGAGACAGAAGGUCUCGAACCCAGGACCACAAUGACAAACUCGGGGGCCUCAGCGGCCCCUGGCCUUCAGGCCGAGCCAGAAUCGGCUCGUGUGUCAGCUCCCACAUGGGCACACCCCAUCCUGUCUUUCCUCCUUUGCGGUGAGCUCCCUUAAGACAAGGUGGAAGCACGGCAAAUCCAGUGCCGAUCUCUCACUUACGCCAUCAUCAACCGUGAACUGGUUCGACACAGUGUAACAGGCGUACUUCAACGCUGCGUCGAAUCAGAGAAAUGAAAAUAAAUUCUCAAGGACAUACAUCAGGGUGAGUGCGGGCAUCACGCCGCCUCCAGAACCCUGGUGGCCAAGGCGUUCCGCCAUGGAUUCUAUUGGCUCACGACCCUGGAAGAGGCCACCACUCUGGUCGACAAGUGUGAAGGAUGCCAGUGCUUCAACACGCAAAGCCACUUGCCGGCCUCAGCUCUAAAGACCAUUCCCCUCUCAUGUCCCUUUGUCGUCUGGCGUUGGACAUGGUAGGCCCAUUCAAGACCGCUCGAGGCCGCAUGCCGCAUCUCCUGGUAGCCGUUGACAAGUUCACCAAGUGGAUUGAGGCCAGGCCAAUAAAGAAGCUUGACGGUCCCACGACCGUCAGGUUCAUCAAGGACAUCACCGUCCGCUAAGGUGUCCCCCACAGCAUCAUCACCGAUAAUGGCACCAACCUCGCCAAAGGUGCAAUGGCGCUCUUCUAUGCCAAGGAGGGCAUUCGGUUCGACCUUUCGUCGGUUGCCCACCCGCAGUCUAACGGCCAUGGGAAGGGCAAACAACCUGAUCUUGGCCGGCAUCAAGCCAAGACUCGUGGCACCGAUCGUCAGGUCAGCCGUCUGCUGGAUCAAAGAGUUGACGGCUGUGCUGUGGAGCCUCCACACCACACCGAACCGGUCAACUGAUUUCACGCCAUUCUUCCUCGUCUACGGGUCCGAGGCAAUCAUCCCCGCGGAUGUCGAGUUCGACUUGCCUCGCGUCACCCUGUACACGGAGGCAGAUGCAAAAGAGGAAAGAGAAGACGGUGUCAAUCUACUCGAGGAGGCACGGGAGCUGGCCCUGAGCUGGACGGCCAUCUACCAGCAGAAGAUGAGACACUACCACAUCAAAAAGAUCAGGCCUCUCUCUUCCCAUGAGGCGGACCUAGUACUUAGAAGAAUCUAGCAAACAGCCGGCCAACACAAGCUCUCUUCCCCAUGGGAGGGACCCUUGAUCAUCAGCAAGGUGCUGCACAACAAUGCGUACUAUCUAAUAGAUGCUCAGAAGCCGCAGAAGCGCAAAAGAGACGCCUCCGGCGAGGAAACGGAGCAUCCAUAGAACGCGGCACUGCUUCGCCCGUUCUAUUGCUAGAACAAGAGAGAAAAUGUGUACGUAUGUAUCCUUUACCCUUUUGGGGUCUCAACGAAUGCAAUGGGUGUCUCAAGAUAGCACUUGGGGCAUACCUAUUUGAUUUCAUAAAAAGAGUUGUCAUUAGAAGAGUGGGCUUCCCGAUCUGACUCCUCGGGCUCGGGGGCUCGCUAGCCGGCCCAAGCCAACUUCCUAGUCGUAGUUGAACAUAUAGUGCAUGUCGAGCCGAAACCCUUACCACCUUGUGCAAGCUAGAGACCGGCUCCGGACUGUCCGGCUAACAUGAUUGUGGAAUGGAAGGCUGGUUGCACGUAAAAUUUGACUACAAAGAGGUUGUCGGCUCAGGUUGGUCUGAUCGCUUCCGAUCUUCAUUUCUAGCUAGCCUGUGCUAACUCGCUCCAAGUCUAAGUAUCUCCGCGACUUCAAGAAAUUCGAGGAUGGCGCCUUCGUAGGCAGAAGCCCCAUCCUAGUCACAAACCGGCUCCCUGCUGUCGGAUUGGCGGGGUGGAUGCUGGAGGAGGCAAGCUGUUGGAUAGACGGAAGCCAAAGGGGAACGUAAGAUAAAAAAGCGAGUCGGCAAGCACAACCUUCGCAGGCACAAUUCAAGCAAACAAGCAUAUAUUAUAUCAAAAGACAUGUAAAGGCCGACGACCAAAGUUCAUUACAUUACACCCCAAGUGCGUGGAACUGUUGGAUUAACAAAAAAUGCAGAAAAGUAGAAAAAACUUUAUUUGGUGGUGGCUCCACCCUUGGCUCCGACAUCGCCGGCAGCACCGGAGGUCGAGGAGGCUCCACCCAUGGCUCCGACAUUGUUAGCAGCACCUGAGGUCGACGCGGCUCCACCCUUGGCAUUGGCAUCACCAGCGGCACCUGACGUGGAGGCGCCGUCGUCUGCUCGGGUGCCUUUGGCACUGCCCUUUGUGGCGGAGUCAACAUAGGCCUCGCCGCUCAAGUCGGCAUCCUCGAAUGCCGUCUCAUCGGAGCUGCCAUCAGGGUCGGCAAGCUAGCCCAUAAUGACCCUCCGGGAUCAGGCUUCUGUCAGCACUCCGCUCCAGGGAAUACUCAUUCCAUGGGCAAAGGAGGCAAUGCCGCUCGGCCGCACCUGCAGCUCGUCUUCGACGGCGGCUGACACGUGUCCAACGUAUCUAUAAUUUUUGAUGGUUACAUGCUAUUAUCUUGUCAAACUUUGGAUGUUUUGCAUGCCUUUUAUAACUUUUGGGACUAACUUAUUAAUUCAGUGCCAAGUGCCAGUUCCUGUUUUUUCCGUGUUUUUGACCCUUUUCAGAGAAGGAUUUUAAACGGUGUCCAAACGGAAUAAAAUUUUCGAAAAGAUUUUUUCCGGAACAGAAGAUACGCACGGGAUGUGAGAACCAAGGCAGAAGCCACCACGGGAUGCCACAAGCCCCCUAGGCGCGGCCGGGGGGGCCUAGCAGGCUUGUGGGCCCCCUGUGACUCGUCUGCACUACCUCUUCUGCCUAUAAAUUCCUGAAAAAUCCAAAACUGCGGGAGAGAUCCACGAAAAUACUUUUCCGCUGCCGCAAGCUUCUGUCUCCGCAAGAUCCCAUCUGGGGCACGUUCUGGUGCCCUGCCGGAGGGGGGAUUGGAUACGGAGGGCUUCUUCAUCAACACCAUGACCUCUCCGAUGAUGCAUGGGUAGUUUACCAUAGACCUUCGGGUCCAUAGCUAGUAGCUAGAUGCCUUCUUCUCUCUCUUGGAUCUUCAAUACAAAGUUCUCCAUGAUCUUCAUGGAUAUCUAUCCGAUGUAAUCUUCUUUUGCGGUGUAUUUGUCGAGAUCCGAUGAAUUGUGGAUUUAUGAUCAGAUUAUCUAUGAAUCUUAUUUAAAUUUCUUCUGAUCUUUUAUAUGCAUGAUUUCAUAUCCUUGUAAUUCUCUUCGAGUUGUGGGUUUUCUUUGGCCAACUUGAUCUAUGAUUCUUGCAAUGGGAGAAGUGCUUGGUUUUGGGUUCAUACCGUGCGGUGACCUCACCCAGUGACAGAAGGGGUAGUGAGGCACGCAUCAUGUUGUUGCCAUCAAGGGUAAAAAGAUGGGGUUUACAUCAUUGGUUUGAGUUUAUCCCUCUACAUCAUGUCAUCUUGCUUAAGGCGUUACUCUGUUCGUCAUGAACUCAAUACACUAGAUGCAUGCUUGAUAGCAGGGGAUGUGUGGAGUAAUAGUAGUAGAUGCAGACAGUAUCGGUCUACUUGUCUUGGACGUGAUGCCUAUAUGUAUAAUCAUUGCCUUAGAUAUCGUCAUGACUUUGCGCGGUUCUAUCAAUUGCUCGACAGUAAUUUGUUCACCCACCGUAAUAUUUGCUACUUUGGGAGAAGCCUCUAGUGAACACUAUGGCCCCCGGGUCUACUUCACAUCAUAUUUUCAGCCUUUAACUUUUACUUCGUUGUACUUUCCACCUUCAGAUCUCACUUUGCAAUCAAUCUUGAAGGGAUUGACAACCCCUUUAUAGCGUUGGGUGCAAGCUCGUUUGUAUUUGCGCAGGUACUCUGUACACUUGGAUUGAUUCUCCUACUGGAUUGAUACCUUGGUUCUCAAACUGAGGGAAAUACUUACUUCUCCUGUGCUGCAUCACCCUUUCCUCUUCAAGGGAAAACCAACGCAAGCUCAAGAGGCAACAGAAGGAUUUCUGGCGCCGUUGCCGGGGACUUCUGGCCCCGUAGCAGAAGGAUUUCUCGCGCCGUUGCCGGGGAGGAUCAAGUUCUAGGUGAAGCUUAUCCAAGUAAGUGUCGAAAACUCAUCUCUUGCAUUUACUUUUUUGCCUUUCGUUUUCCUCUCCCCCAGUUUUGAAAAACAAAAAAUUACAAAAAUAUUUGCCUUCUUCGUUUGCCUUUUUCGUUCGCCCUUUUAUCUCGCUUGCUUUCUGUUCGCUUGUGUGCUUGUUUGCUUGUCGAAGUCACCAUGACUAAAAACACCAAACUCUAUGACUUCUCGAAUACUAAUAAUAAUGAUUUUAUUAGUACUCCGAUUGCUCCCGCCACUAGUGCGGAAUCAUACGAAAUCAAUGUUGCCUUGCUGAAUCUUGUUAUGAAAGAGCAAUUCUCCGACCUUCCUAGUGAAGAUGCCGCAUCCCAUCUUAAUAUCUUCAUUGAGCUUUGCGAUAUGCAGAAUAAGAAAGAUGUGGAUAAUGAUGUGAUUAAAUUGAAGCUUUUUCCUUUCUCGUUGCGAGAUCGAGCAAAAACUUGGUUUUCAUCUUUGCCCAAAAAUAGUAUUGAUUCUUGGAACAAGUGCAAAGAUGAUUAUAUAUCCAAGUAUUUUCCGUCGGCUAAGAUUAUCUCUCUCCGUAAUGAUAUCUUGAAUUUUAAGCAACUUGAUCAUGAACAUGUUCCACAAUCUUGGGAGAGAAUGAAAUUGAUGAUUAGAAAAUGUCCCGCUCAUGGCUUGAGUCUUUGGAUGAUUAUACAAAUCUUCUACGCUGGUUUGAAUUUCGCUUCUAGAAAUAUCUUGGACUCCGCCUCAGGUGGAACAUUCAAGGAAAUCACAUUAGGAGAAGCCACGAAACUCCUAGACAAUAUCAUGAUAAACUACUCUCAGUGGCACACUGAAAGGUCACCUACUAGUAAAAAAGUACACGCUAUAGAAGAAAUUAACUCGUUGAGUGCUAAGAUGGAUGAUUUAAUGAAUUUUGUUGCUAGUAGAAGUGCUCCUUUAGAUCCUAAUGAUAUGCCCUUGUAUUCCUUGAUUGAGAGUAGCAAUGCGAGCUUGGACGUUAAUUUUGUUGGUAGGAAUAAUUUUGGCAACAACAAUGCUUUUAGAGGAAACUAUGUUCCUACGCCUUUUCCUAGGAACCCCUCUAAUAACUUUGGCAACUCCUACAACAAUACUCAUGGAAAUUACGAUAAAUUACCCUCUGAUCUAGAUAGUAAUAUCAAAAAGUUUAUCAACUCGCAAAAGAUUUUCAAUGCGUCCAUAGAGGAAAAACUACUCAAAAUUGACGAUUUGGCUAGGAGCGUUGAUAGAAUGUCUAGUGAUACUGAUGCUUUGAAAGUUAGAUGUGCUCCUCCCAAGAUCAACAUGGAUGAAACUUUGAAACCCAUGCGUGUUUCCAUGAGUGAGAGCAAAGAAAGAACCGCCCAAAUUCGUGCUAGACAUGAAUGGCUUAAAAAGGCGUGUUCUCGUGAUAAGAAUCACGAAGAUCUUAAAGUGCUUGGUGUGACUCCCAUUGAAUCUUUGUUCUCUCGUGUCAAACCUAAUGAUGAUGGGGCUGGAUAUGAAUCUACUUUGGUUGAAAAACGCCUCAAUGAUUCGGAGUCCAUCUAUCUUGAUGCUAAAAGCAUUGAAAGUGGAGUAGAAGAAAUCAAAACUUUGAGUAGUAAUGAAAGUACUACUUUGGAUUUCAAGGAAUUCAAUUAUGAUAGUUUCUCCUUGAUUGAAUGCAUUUCCUUGAUGCAAUCCAUGCUAAACUCUCCACACGCUUAUAGCCAAAACAAGGCCUUUACCGAUCAUAUCGUUGAAGCUAUGAUAAAAUCUCUUGAAGAGAAACUUGAGUUGGAAGUUUCUAUUCCUAGAAAGCUUCAUGAUGAGUGGGAACCUACUAUCAAAAUCAAAAUCAAAAACUAUGAAUGCAAUGCUUUGUGUGAUUUGGGUGCUAGUGUUUCCGCGAUUCCAAAGUCUUUAUGUUAUGUUCUAGGCUUUAAUGAGAUUGAGGAGUGUUCUCUUAAUUUGCAUCUUACGGAUUCUACUGUCAAGAAACCCAUGGGAAGGAUCAAUGAUGUUCUUAUUAUUGCAAAUAGGAACUAUGUACCCAUGCAUUUCAUUGUGCUUGAUAUUGAUUGCAAUCCUACAUGUCCUAUCAUUCUUGGUAGACCUUUCCUAAGGACUAUUGGUGCUAUCAUCGAUAUGAAGGAAGGGAAUAUUUGAUUUCAAUUUCCUUUAAAUAAGGGCAUGGAGCAUUUUCCUAGAAAGAAAAUAAGAUUGCCUUAUUAAUCAAUGAUGAGGGCUACUUAUGGUUUGAGCACCAAAGACGACGAUACGUGAUUCUAUCGCCUUAUGCCUAGCUAAGGGCGUUAAAAAAUAGCGCUUGUUGGGAGGCAACCAAAUGAAUUUAUUUUUUUCUUUCUGUUUUAUUGCGUCCACACUAUCAUAAUUCUGUUAUGAUAGUUUUUUGUGUUUCUUUUUGUGUUUGAGCCAAGCAAAACCUUUAUGAUUGGUUUGGUGAUGGUUGUUUGAUCCUGCUGGAAAAAGACAGAAACUUUUCGCUCACGAAAUUAUUUUUCGUUUUUAUUCCGAAAGAGAUUUUGAUUUGAUUCCUUUUGCUGCUGGUUUAUAUGCCUUUUUCCCAGGCUGUCGUAAUGUUUCAUAAUUUUUGAGGCACCAGAAGUAUACGAAGUAUAAAGAUUUCUACAGACUGGUCUGUUUUUGACAGAUUUUGUUUUUGUUGUGUUGGUUGCUUGUUUUGAUGAAACUAUGGAUAGUAUCGGGGGUACUAGCCAUGGAAAAGUGAGAAUACAGUAAUCUAACACCAAUAUAAAUAGAAAUCAAGAUUGCUACAGUACCUAAAGUGGUGGUAGUUUGUUUUCUUGUGCUAAUGAUAUCACGAGUUUCUGUUUAAGUUUUGUGUUGUGAAGUUCUCAAGUUUUGGGUGAUGUUCUCAUGGACAAAGGGAUAAAGAGUGGAAAGAGAUCAAGCUUGGGGAUGCCCAAGGCAUCCCAAUCUAAAUUCAAGGACACCAAAAAUCCUAAGCUUGGGUAUGCCCCGGGAAGACAUCCCCUCUUUCGUCUUCAAUCCAUCGGUAACAUUACUUGGAGCUAUAUUUUUAUUCAGCACAUGAUAUGUGUUUUGUUUGGAGCGUCUUGUAUCGUAGGAGUCUUUUCUUUUUGUUGUGUCACAAUCAUCCUUGCUGCACACCUUUUGAGAGAGACAUGCACUCAUCGUGAAUUUGCUAGAAUACUCAUUGUGCUUCACUUAUAUCUUUUGAGCUAGACAAUGUUGCUGUGUGCUUCACUUAGAUCUUUUAGAGCACCGCUGUGCGUAACUUGGUAGUUGGCUUGUGCUAUGAAUGUAGUCCCAAAGGUGAUAGGUAGCCAAAGAGGAGACAAUAACACUUCCAUCUUCAUGUGUGUUGAGUAGAAAGAGAAGUUUGAUUCCUCUCAAUUAGUUUUGAGACGUGGAUUUGGUAAUAUUAAGAGUUAUGUUAGUAGGGUGUUGUGAAUCUAGAAAUACUUGUGUUAAAGUUAGUGAUUCCCGUAACAUGCACAUAUGGUGAACCACUAUGUUAGGAAGUCGGAGCAUAAUUGAUCUAUUGAUUUCCAUUCUUUGUGUUGCCGUCGGGAUCGCGCGAUGGUUAACACCUACUAACCCUUCCUCUAGGAGUAUGCGUUUAGCACUUUGUUUCGAUUACUAAUAAAAACUUUUGCAACAAGUAUGUGAGUUCUUCAUGACUAAUGUGAGUCCAUGGUAUAGAUGCACUUUCACCUUCCACCAUUGCUAGCCUCUCUAGUACCGCGCAGUUUUCGCUGGUGCACAAACCCACCAUAUGCCUUCCUCAAAACAGCCACCAUACCUACCUACUAUGGCAUUUUCAUUGCCAUUCCGAGAUAUAUUGCCAUGCAACUCCCACCGUUCCGUCUCAUGACUUGUGCCGUCACUCUCAUAUUGCCAUUGCAUGAUCAUAAGACAGCUAGCGAGAUGUUUCAACGUCAUACGCCAAGCUAGAUCGUUGAACAUCCCGGUACACUGCCGGAGGCAUUUCCUAUAGAGUCAUCAUCGUUCUAAGCUUUGAGCUGUGAGUAAAUAAAAGUGUGAUGAUCAUCAUUAUUAGAGCAUUGUCCCAUGUGAGGAAAUAAAAAAAUAGAGGCCAAAGUUGCCCACAAAAAAAGAGAUAUGGAAAGAGGCCGAAGAACCCAAACAAAAAAAAGAAAAAGAAAAAAAGAGAGAAAAUUAGAGAAGGGACAAUGCUACUAUCUUUUUCCACACUUGUGCUUCAUAAUAGCACCAUGUUCUUCAUGAUUGAGAGCCUCCUCGUUUUGUCACCACCAUAUACUAGUGGGAAUCUUUAUUAUAUAACUUGGCUUGUAUAUUCCAAUGAUGGGCUUCCUCAAAAUUGCCCUAGGUCUUCGUGAGCAAGCAAGUUGGAUGCACACCCACUAGUUCUCCUUUUGAGCUUUAACAUACUUAUAGCUCUAAGUGCAUCCAUUGCAUGGUAAUCCCUACUCUUUCACAUUGAUAUCUAUUAAUGGGCAUCUCCAUAGCCCUUUGAUACGCCGAGUCGAUGUGACCAUCUCCUCCUUUUUGUCUCACAACCUCCACCACACUCUAUUCCACCAUAGUGCUAUAUCCAUGGCUCAUGCUCAUGUAUUGCAUGAGAGUUGAAAAAGGUUUGAGAACGUAAGAGUGCGAAAACAAUUACUUCGCCAAUACCGGGGUUGUGCAUGAUUUAAAUUAGUUGUGUGGGGAUGAUGGAGCAUAGCCAGACUAUAUGAUUUUGUAGGGAUAACUUUCUUUGGCCUUGUUAUUUCGAAAGUUCAUGAUUACCUUGCUAGUUUACUUGAAGUAUUAUUGUUUUCAUGUCAAUAGCAAAUUAUUGUUUUUAAUCUUAUGUAUAGGAACAUUCAUGUCACAUGAAAGAAGUUACAAAGGACAACUAUGCUAGGUAGCAUUCCACAUCAAAAAUUAAGUCUCUAUCACUUCCCUACUCGAGGACGAGCGGGAGUUAAGCUUGGGAUGCUUGAUACGUCUGUAACGUAUCUAUACUUUUUGAUGGUUCCAUGCUAUUAUCUUGUCAAUCUUUGGAUGUUUUGUAUGCCUUUUAUAUCUUUUUUGGGACUAACUUAUUAACUCAGUGCCAAGUGCCAGUUUCUGUUUUUUUCGUGUUUUUGACCCUUUUCAGAGGAGAAUUUUAAACGGUGUCCAAACGGAAUAAAACUUCUGAUUUUUUUUCCGGAACAGAAGAUACGCACGGGACGUGAGAACCAAGGCAGAAGCCACCAGGGGACGCCACAAGCCCCCUAGGCGCGGCCAGGGGGGCCCGCGCCUAGCAGGCUUGUGGGCCCCGUGUGGCUCGUCCGCCCUACCUCUUCCGCCUAUAAAUUCCUGAAAAAUCCAAAACCGCGGGAGAGAUCCUUGAAAAUACUUUUCCGCCGCCACAAACUUCUGUCUCCGCAAGAUCCCAUCUAGGGAACGUUCUGGUGCCCUGCCGGAGGGGGGAUUCGGAUACGGAGGGCUUCUUAAUCAACACCAUGACCUCUCCGAUGAUGCAUGAGUAGUUUACCAUAGACCUUCGGGUCCAUAGCUAGUAGCUAGAUGGCUUAUUCUCUCUCUUGGAUCUUCAAUACAAAGUUCUCCAUGAUCUUCAUGGAGAUCUAUCCGAUGUAAUCUUAUUUUGUUGUGUGUUUGUCGAGAUCCGAUGAAUUGUGGAUUUAUGAUCAGUUUAUCUAUGAAUCUUAUUUGAGUUUCUUCUCAUCUCUUAUAUGCAUGAUUUCAUAUCCUUGUAAUUCUCUUCGAGUGAUGGGUUUUGUUUGGCCAACUUGAGCUAUGAUUCUUGCAAUGGGAUAAGUGCUUGGUUUUGGGUCCAUACCGUGCGGUGACCUCACCCAGUGACAGAAGGAGUAGCGAGGAACGCAUCGUGUUGUUGCCAUCAAGGGUAAUAAGAUGGGGUUUACAUCAUUGGUUUGAGUUUAUCCCUCUACAUCAUGUUAUCUUGCUUAAGGUGUUACUCUGUUUGUCAUGAACUCAAUACAAUAGAUGCAUGCUGGAUAGCGGUCGAUGUGUGGAGUAAUAGUAGUAGAUGCAGACAGUAUCGGUCUACUUGUCUCGGACGUGAUGCCUAUAUGUAUGAUCAUUGUCUUAGAUAUCGUCAUGACUUUGCGCGGUUCUAUCAAUUGCUCGACAGUAAUUUGUUCACCCACCGUAAUAUUUGCUACUUUGAGAGAAGCCUCUAGUGAACACUAUGGCCCCCGGGUCUACUUCACAUCAUAUUUUCAGCCUUUCACUUUUACUUCGUUGCACUUUCCGCCUUCAGUUCUCACUUUGCAAUCAAUCUUGAAGGGAUUGAUAACCCCUUUAUAGCGUUGGGUGCAAGCUCGUUUGUGUUUGCGCAGGUACUCUGGACACUUGGCUUGAUUAUCCUACUGGAUUGAUACCUUGGUUCUCAAACCGAGGGAAAUACUUACUGCUCGUGUGCUGUAUCACCCUUUCCUCUUCAAGGGGAAACCAAUGCAAGCUCAAGAUGCAGCAGAAGGAUUUCUGGCGCCGUUGCCGGGGACUUAUGGCGCCGUAGCAGCGGCCAACUCCAGUUCCAUGCUGGCGCGCUGCGCCGCGAGCAUGCCCAAGUUUAGGUUGCGAUACCAGGACUUGGCAAGGCGAAGCACCAUAUAUGCCCCAGCUUGUGCAGCUGACGCACACGAGGCGUCCAGCUGGGAAGUUCCUACCUCGAGCCAUCAGGACAGCCGGCUCAUUGACGCUGGCUCCACCGUGUCCGGCCAAAGGGCAUUCACCAUCGCCAACCCGGACUCCUGGAGCGAGGUCAGGGACUGCAACAGCUCCCACAUAUGGGCCCUGGCGGCAAGGGCCACCUCCUCCGCGGUCUAGCCGGCACUAAUAUUCACCAUGGCGCCGGCGGCACGUCGUUCUUUGCGAUGAGCCUCUACAGCCGUGUCCACCGCAUCUCAAUUCCCUAGAAAGAGAUGGUGGGGGGCAAUGGCGGGGUCAUGGCGUAAAGAAGGAGAAAAAAGAAUUCAACAAUAAAAAGACAAGAUGAGGCAGGGACGACUCACGGUUGAGAAGGAUGUCGACUUCGCCCGCCUCCUCCUCAACCUCGCGGUCCUGGACCGCACACUCCUAAGCCUGGCGAGCGAGCUUGUUCCCCAGGGCCUGUGUCGCCUUAACUUCCUUCGCCAGUUGAGCUUUCAUGUCCUUCAUGGCGGCGUCCUGCUGCGCCUUUUCGUCAAGGCGCAGCUUCUCCAAACGUUCAAGCUCGAUGGCUUGGGAGGCAUCCUUCCGCAACAUGUUGUCGUUGUGUCCGACGCGCAGCCGCUCCAGCUCCGUUUGAUGGGCCGCCUCGUGGUCCUUCUUCUCCAUCUGGAGAAGCUCUACUUCCUGACGUAGCCGGCCGCCCUCACCGCGCAAGGCGUCGCGCUCCGUGACGGCUCGGUCGAGCCGGCCUUGAAGGUCGCCUGUUUGUUCUAUGUAAUGAUCAUUGGCAUGAAUAAACAUUGCAUAACUAUGCGCUUUUAUACCAAUUUACCAACAAUAAUUUGUUUACCACCGUAUGCUUUUCUACCAAUUUAACAACAGUAAUAUGUUCACCCACCGUAUGUUUCCUACGGGAGACAAGCCUCUAGCGAAAACUAUCGCCCCGGGGUCUAUUCACAAAUAUAUUUACAAAAAUACUAAAUACUUCUUUGAAUUUUAUUAUUUGUAUUUAUUUUUUAUAUUUAAUAUAUUUUAGCUAUCUAUAUAUCACUACUUACCGUUUGCAAGUAACUAGUUCAAGGCGAUUGACAACCCUCUUGCUCGCGUUGGGUGCAAUUGUUUGCUAUUUUGUGUGUAGGCGCUGAACACAGGAAAAUGUGUCGUUCUUCUAUUGGUUUAAUAACCUUGGUUCUCACUGAGGAAAUACUUAUCUAUUCUCUGCUUCAUCAACUCCUCUUUGGGGAUAAAUCCAACGCAGAUCACAAUUAUCACGCGUGCGUUCCCACCCAACAUCGGCGGCCCACAUUCAUACCGAUGUAGAGCGGUCGCUCCGCAUUGAAGCCAUCCCGGAGCGGAUGUGGCAUCUCACUAGCACCGACGUUGAAGCGGUGCAUCGACCGACAGUGCCGCCCAUUGCACACCCGUGUGAGCAUGCCUCUUCGCUGCACUCAAACGCCUCUAUUAAACCCGCAUGUGUGCCAAGAAACCUAUUAUAGUAACAUGUCCAUUUGCGAGAUAGUCGGCCUUAAACACAACACCGGGAAAGCUCCCUGCGCCCGCCUGCUAUAUAAAGGAGGCCAGACGCUGGUAAAGGAUCGCACCACUCCUCCACUCCACAUCUCCCCCUUCCACCAUUUUCCCCCCCUUUCCAUGGCAUCCGACGAGUAGGAAGAGCAGUUGUCCAGUAUAAAAGUUGGUUGGGUGGCUCGCUGAGCCCUCUAGAUACGAACUAGGCAACUUGCUGCUCCUCCUCCCUCGCCGAGCUCGACAAAGAAAGUGGCCGCACCAAGCCGGCGCCUAGUUCAACAACUCUCUAUUCCAAGCCAGCUCACAGAGGAGUAGAGAGUUGCUCCAGACCGGCAUGGUGGAACUGACAUCAUGGCUGCCAUGGACGAGGCCAGGCGCCAAGCCAUCCAGCGUCGACUUUCGCGGAACCGCGUCGUGCUUGUGGACAAAGAAACUAGCUUGGAGAUUGACAAGGCUGCGGGGUUCGUGGGAGUUACCCGCAACUCUCAUACCAGUCGUGCAUGGCAAAAUUUUAGUCAUCGACUUGACUCAUUCCCGUAACCCACGGUGCCGCGCGGCGCAACGCGGCGCGGCGUGGCGAGGAGAGGCGGGCGACGGAGGAGCGCGCGUGUAUGUCUCUCUUGUUCUCAUGCUCAUACAUGUGUGAAACAUCAUCCCUUAUAAGGAGGUCCAACUCCUACCAAACUAGCAACGUGGGACUAAACUUUAGUUCCACCUCUUUCCUUGCACGAAUGGGAUAAGUGGGCCUCUAGGAUUUAUUGGAAAUUCUGAAGAAGAUCAUUGGGCUAGCCCAAAAUUAUUAAAUUCCAGCAAUCCCCCACCAGAUCCUAGAGGCACAAAAAAAUUGCCUUUGGUUCCAAAACACUGUUUAUAUACCGGUACUGCACAGGAGACUAUUAAGUUUAACUUCCACCUAGAACUAUAUGUUAUACUAGUAAGCAACUUGAAUAGUGGACUAUGCCUUGAACUGCAAGUUUUCUGUGAAUCUAGUUUCACAUAGAGCCUUGACUGAUACUAGGCUACCGUUGGUGGAGCUUAUGCGUCAUACUCCGAGGACUUUCAUAAGUUUACUAGAGAGCACCCUACUCUCAUAGAUUGCGAUGUUAACAAUCAGACUCAUGUAGGUGUGUUCUUCAAAAGAGUUCUGUAGGACAACAUCUCUGCUUCAACAAGACAUUUAGAACAUAUAAAGAUAUAUAUCAACCUUCCAUGCAUAUUAGGAAAGUAUUGCAUCUUCAUGGAGUGGUAUUAUCAAUGGUAAGGAUACUUUCCUCUCACUUGACCAACAACUUGUCUUCCACAUCUAAUUCACGGGAUCUCCGGUCACAUUGAAUAGUUUAGCACCGUGAACAACUCAUAUUGUGGGUCUCAUACCCAUCCCCUUCGAUGCAUUAUAUAUCACAUUACAAGAUAGACCCUUAGUAAAAGGAUAUGCCAAAUUUUUAGAUGUUUGGAUAUAAUCCAAUGAAAUAACUCCGGAGUUUCUCAUUUUCCUCACAGAGUUUAACCUUCACUGAACAUGUCUUGAUGACUUCAUGUUAUCCUAUGAACUACUCACUUUUGCACUUACAGUUUGAUUGUUGUGGUUCAUAAGAACACCUGGUGCAGGUUUCUCAACAAACUAUAAGUCAUUCAAGAGCCGACGAAGCCAAUCUUCUUCGCCAUAGCUGUAUCUAGUGUUGUGAGUUCUGCUUCCAUUGUUGACCUCGUUAAGAUUGUUUGCUUGCAAGACUUCCAAGAAACAGCGCCACCACCAUGAGUAAAUACAUAUCCGCUCGUGGCCUUUAUCUCAUCAGCAUGAGAGAUCCAGUUUGAGUCACUAUACCCUUCAAGUACCUUUGGGUACCGAGUGUAUUGAAUUCCAUAACUCGUAGUGCCCUUCAAAUAGCGCAUAACUCUUUCUAGAGCUUUCCAAUGAUCAUCUCCUGGUUUUGAGACAAACCGGCUCAGCUUGCUAGCAGCAAAAGAGAUGUCACGUCUCGUAGCGCUUGCUAAAUACAUGAGCGAGCCAAUUAUUUGGGAUUAUUUCAAUUGAUCUCUAGCAAUUAUUCGAUUCUUUCGAAGCAACACGCUAGCAUCAUAAGGUGUUGGAGAAGGCUUGCAGUUAGUAUAACCAAAGUGACUCAAGAGAUUUUCCACAUAGUGAGAAUGAAGCAAAGUAAUCGCACCGUCAUCACUUCUCAGCAGCUUGAUAUUCAGAAUAACAUUAGCUAAUCCUAAAUCCUUUAUCUCGAAACAACGAGAUAGGAAAUCCUUGACUUCCUUAAUAACAUUCAUAUUUGUUCCGAAAAUCAAUAUGUCUUCAACAUAUAAGCAGAGGAUAACUCCCUCGCCCCCACCAUGGCGAUAGUACACACAUUUGUCAGCUUCGUUUACAACAAAGCCUACACCUAUUAAAGUUCUUUCAAACUUCUCAUGCCACUUCUUAGGUGCUUGCUUAAGUCCAUACAAUGACUUCAAAAAUUUGCACACUUUUCCCUCAUGACCGUCCAUUAUAAAUCCAUAUGGUUGUUCCAUAUAAAUUUCCUCGUCCAACUCUCCAUUUAGGGAAGCAGUCUUAACUUCCAUUUGGUGGACGAGAAUACCAUGUGAAGCUCCUAGUGAAAGAAGUACUAGAAUAGUGGUCAGUCGAGCCAUAGGUGAGUAAGUGUCAAAGAAGUCUUCACCUUCCUUUUGGGUAUAACCUUUGGCCACGAGUCAUGCCUUGUACUUCUCAAUAGUACUAUCAGGCCUAAGAUUCUUCUUGAAUACCCAUUUGCAGCCUAUAGGUUUGCACACAUAGGGACAAUCAGUUAUCUCACAAGUUUCAUUUGCGAGGAUGGAAUCCAUCUCACUACAAACCGCUUCCUUCUAGUAGUCAGCAUCUUCAGAUACAUAAGCCUCUGAAAUAGAACUGGGAGUGUCUUUUAUGAGAUAUACAAGAAAAUCAUCACCAAAGGACUUUGUAGUCCUUUGACUCUUGCUCCUUUUAGGAUUCUCCUUGUUGUUCUCCACAGGAUCUUCAAGAUGUUGUGUUGCAAUAGUCGGUUCAGAAGGUGCACCUACAUCUUGACUCGAUAAGCUAGGCAUCUCCUGAUUUGAUGCGCUAGCCAUAUCCUUAAUGGGAAAUAUAUCUUCAAAGAAGGUCACAUCAUUCCACUCCAUGAUUGUGCCAACAUGCAUGUCAGAUACCUCAUAUUUUAUAAUCAAGAAUCUACAACCAAUGCUAUGAAAAUAUACCCCAGGAAAACAUAAUCCACAGUUUUUGGCCCAAGCUUUCGCUUCUUUGGAAUUGGUAUAUUGACUUUUGCCAAGCAGCCCGAAGUUCAUAGGUAAGAGAGUUUUAACCUUUUCUUCUCCCAUUCCUCAAAUGGAGUUAUCUCUUUGUUCUUUGUGGGAACUCGGUUUAGGACAUGACAUGCAGUCAAAAUCGCAUCCCCCACCAUGCCUUGGAGAGACCUGAUAUGACUAAAAUGGCGUUAACAAAAUCAGUUGGAGUGUGGUUCUUCAUUUCAGCUACCCCAUCUGACUGAGGUGAAUAGGGAGGCGUUCUCUCAUGGAUUAUACCAUGUUCGGCACAAAAAGAAUCAAAUUCAUUGAAAAAAUACUCUCCACCAUGAUCAGACCUAAGCCUCUUAAUUUUCUGAUCAAGUUUGUUUUCCACUUUAGCUUUAUAGAUCUUGAAGAAAUUCAAAGCCUCAUCUUUAGAUUUUAAAAGAUACAGAUGGUACCAUCUAGUGGAGUCAUCGAUUAAUGUCAUAAAAUAUGACUUUCCACCUUUCGUCAAAAACACUGUUCAUUUCACAAAGAUCUGAAUGUAUGAGUUGUAGUGGCGCAAGAUUUCUUGUUUCUGCAGUUGCAUGAGACUUACGAGGUUGCUUAGCUUGCACACAAACUUGACCCUUAGAUCCCUUGAUAGAAGUGAAGUUCAGGAUCAAGUUCAACUUGACUAGCCGCGUCAUAGAACCAAAAUUAACAUGACAAAGACGUGAAUGAAAGACAUUUGAUUCUCUAUUAUUGCAAACGUGAUUAAACCCUUUAUUACAAAACAUCUAAUAAAGAUAGUCUGAACAAGCCUCCUGACUCAUAACCUUUACCAAGAAAAGUUCCAUACUUGGAUAUAAAAUUUAUUGGACUGAAAGACAAACUUGUAGCCAUCUCAACAUAGAGGAGAUCCACUAACAAGAUUUUUAUUAUCGGAGGGUACAUAAUGCAUGUUCUUCAGCCGCAUUAUUUUUCCUGAAGUAAACUUCAGAUCGACCGUGCCAACACCACGAACAUAAGCACUUGAACCGUUUCCCGCCAGGAUGGAGGUAGUCCCUGCGGCCUGAUAUGAAGAAAACAUAGAAAUAUCACCGCAUAUAUGCACAUUAACACCCGUAUCAAUCAACCAAUCAGGAGAACGACAUAGUGAGAGAAUAGUGGGAAGUAUACCAUACCCAACAUCCUGCAUCUCAGCAUCACCAAUGAUAACAUUAGCAAUCUUGUCGCCUUUCCCAUGUUGACGCUUUUCAUAACGGUUAGGGCAACUAGGUGCCCAAUGAUGAGGAUCUCCGCAAACAUGACAAACACCUUUCUUUUUGUCAGUCUUCUUCUUGAGUGUGCUGUGAAGCCUUGUUCUUCCCAUCAAACUUUCCCUUACCAUCAAAUUUGCCCUUGUUAUUGAACUUGUGGGGUUGGAAGUUUUUCUUCUGCACCAGAUUGGCACUAGAACCUCCUUCCAUACCUCAAGCAUGUAUGUCUUGCCUUUUCUUCCACAUCAAGAUUACCAAUGAGAUCCGGAACGGAAAACUCCUUCCUCUUAUGAGUGGGAGAGGUAGCAAAGUUCCUCCAUGAAGGAGGAAGCUUAGUAAUAAUACCUCCGGCAACAAACUUCACCGGUAACAUACAAUUGAAGUUCUCAAGUUCUCCAGCAAAUGAUUGUAUCUCGUGAGCUUGUUCAACCACAGAACGCUCAUCAGUCAUCUUUAUUCAUAGAAUUGUUCCAUGAUAUACAGCUUAGUGCCAGCAUUCGAGACUCCAAACUUGGCCUCGAGCACGCUCCACAUAUCUUUCCAUUGUCAAUUGACGCAUAAGCAUCAACAAUGUUCUCACCAAGAAUACUCAAGAGAGCAUCCUUAAACAAGGUAUCAAUUUUCUGAAAAGCGAAUUCCUGUUGAGGAUCAAGAAUUCCUUCAGGUUUGCCAAGAGUGGCAUCGUAGCAGCUCAUGGUUUGAAACCAUAGAACAUCCCUUACACACCAUCUCUUAUAGUGCACACCCUCGAACAUAGGAGGCCUCAUGGAAGCAGCAAAACCACUCGGGGUAAAUUUCCUAAAAUAAGGUCUUCGGAUUGUUGGAAAUAUGAGCGAUUUACCAAGUGAUUUUACUAGCAGAAAUAGUAGAUGAAUCAUGACUACCAUAGCAAUUAUAAGACAAGCCAGUCGAUUAUACACAGAGUAUGCAAGUAGCAUAUGAAGUGAUGAGCAGGAACGAAACAUAUCUAGAAAAGAAACUAUAACAAGAAGUUGUGGCAGGAACUCAAACAAGAAGAACACGAGAACAUACUGAGUUGGAGCAGCAGCUAUAGUGGGAUUUGCGUUGACGUCGUCAUUGGCCAUGUUGCCGAAGAGGCUGUCGAUGUCGGGGAAGAAGUCGUCAUCCGGGAAGUAGUCGUCAGCGUUCGUGAUGGAAAAGCCAGUAGUCGCAUUGAGCGCUCCCCAAAAACCUUAUCGCCCUUCUCCAGUACAUGACUCAAAGAGACGGGGUUUCGGAGGCCUACUGUUCCGACCUGCGGUGCACGUCGCAAGCCGGGGCGGGGAAAAGCUAGCAGUAGCUCAGAGAUUGGAACUCGUUGGCAUGAGGAAGAUGGUAUUCUCGUGUGUCUCUCUGGAGAGGAGCGACCUGUCUUUUAUAGGCCCAUGAGAAGGAGGCAGGCACGCAACAUCGGGAGGCGAAGCAAAAGAGAUUGCAGUCAGGUUGAUAAUAGUCGAGUGACAUUACUUCGUCGGUCCAAACUAAGGAAUCUGUUAUAAAUGUUUUGAAAUAGAUAUUGUUCUCUCUUUGAUCAGGGAUUGCUAUAUGAAAAUAAGUGGAGUUUGAAAAAGGGAACGAAAUGCUCAAACCGGAACUGCUAGAGGAACGAAUUUUCAAUAGCAUAACUUGGGCUCCUAGAAUAUGGUGCCCUUGAGACAAUCUAUUUGAUUGCAGGGUUUUGUUCUGAAGCAAAGAUAUCCGCAGAGGACGGUUCGUUCGUCCUAUUCUGAUAUUCAGGACCAAGAGGUACUGCAUUCUCUGGCUGAAAUGCCAACGGAACUCUGUCUAUUCUCUAAUUCACCCGAUCCGAUAGUACCUGUUUUUGGAACGUCCAGUGCCAAAGUCAUUGAAUGGGUAAGUCACGAAUCCAAUCCCUUUGACAAAUCGGAUGUCAUAUUAUAUAUCAUAUCCUAUAUAUAUAUAUAGAAAUAUCAUAGAUACCCCGUUUCGUGACGAGGCGAGACGGGCGGCGGAGGAGGAGGAGCGUGCGUGUAUGUCUCUCUUGUUCUCAUGCUCAUACAUGUGUGGAAACAUCCUUUCUUAUAAGGAGGUCCAACUCCUACCAAACUAGCAAUGUGGGACUAAACUUUAGUCCCUCCUCUUGCCUUGCACGAGUGGGCUAAGUGGGCCUCUAGGAUUUAUUAGAAAUUCUGAAAAAGGUCAUUGGGCUGGCCCAAAAUUAUAAAAUUCUAGCACAUAAUUGGGGGGGGGGGUAUACCUCUGGGGCUCCCGAUAGUCCGAUGAGCAGGCUGCCGGACAUGAGGCAGACAAAGGGAUCCGCAGCGCUCGGCCAUAGAUUAGUGUAGGGUAUCCAUGUCGUUAGAAUGGAGCUCCACGCGACCAGACGUGCACAUAGUUUUACCUAUUUUAGUUCAAAUAUGUCCAAAAUGCAAUGAAUUUAGUCCGGUUUAUAUGAAAUCCGUUGUGUUUGCAUGAGUUUCAUCUGCUUUGUUGGAAAAGUGUUUGAAAUAUACUUCCUCCGUUCCAAAAUAUAAGACCUUUUAGGAAUUUCACUAUAAGACUACACACGGAGCAAAAUGAGUGAAUCUAUACUCUAAAAUAUGUCUAUGUACAUCCGUAUGUAGUUUAUAGUGCAAUCUCUAAAAGGUCUUAUAUUUAGGAACGGAGGGAGUAUGUGAGUAACGAUGGAUGACCGACAACACUCGAGAAUAUCAUUUUUGGUGGUGCUCCUCAGGUGCCGAGUCAUCACUUUCAAGGUGAAAACCUAAGGUCUAACUUUCGUUUUGUGCCUUAUAUUAGAGUAUUUAACCAAAAACCACCAUAAUUCAUGGAAACGUGCCUAGAAACUACUACUAUACGUUUUUGUGCCGAAAGCUACCAUUUUUAUCCUAAUCAGUGGCAAAAAACUACCAAGUGUGAAUAUUGCUCCAUUAGCCUCUUUGAAAUGCCUUUUAUCCUAAUCCGUUAACUACUCCAUUAACCUACCUGGCGCAGCCCCGCCGCCGUCGCCAUGGCCUCGCCCAAAGCGGCGGCCGCCCCGUGCCUCGCCGUCGGCAGGCCUCCUUGUCGCCGACCACGUCGCCGUCGGAUCCCGGCGUCCUGCGAACCGCCCCACGCUGCCAGUCUCCAUGCCCUCGCACCGAGCGGCGGCCGCCCCGCGCCUCGCGGCCGAAGGCCUCCCGUCGUGGACCCUGCCGUGGUUGGAUCCCACCGCCUCGCCUCCCUGGCGCAGCCUCGUUGCCCCGUGAACCGCCCCGCGCCGUCCAUCGCCAUGGCCUCGCCUCGAGCGGUCGUCGCCAGCGUCUCGCCGUCACCAGAUCCGGCAGGCGUCGCCCUGGUUCCGCCUCUCCCGGACCUCCCCGCCGCCCUGCUCAUGCCGGAGUGCUGCGUGUAGAUCGCGUCGUCUCCUCCAGAUCCGGUCGCACCGCCGCCGUACUUCAUCUUCUCCACCUCCGGUGAAGGCCGCCGCCGUCUCGAUCUCUUUCUCCGGUGACGGCAAACUUAACGGUGCUGACUUUUCCGUCCUGACAUGUGGGCCAACCCUGUCAUAAUGAGUUUAAACGAGCCAAAUGAGGCGUUUUGCAGACUUGAUUGUUUUUAGUCACAGAUUAGCAAAAAAAAAUUGAUAGUUUUUGGCGCAAAAACGAAUUGUGAUAGUUCCUGGGCACGUUGGCGUGAAUUGUAGUAGUUUUUGAUUAAAUACUCCUCAUAUUACCUUGAUGAAGGUAUUGUUUCGAGAGCUCGGUCUUUUUAAGGGAGAAAACCUAAGAUCUUGGAUCGGACGACGAUGACGCUUGUGCACCGAUUUUUUUUUAAAGGCAUCAUUUUUUAGGAUGGUUUGAGUGUCGCUGCUGCUGAGAAGAGUUGUUCACUGUGACGAGUAGUUGAAAAUGCUCUUACUAUUACAUUUUUCUUUCAAACACGUUACAGUUUACUCCCACCUCAAGUAGUUCCGAGCUACUGUACGUAGUAGCCACACACAUGGAGCGACUCACUCACCUCCAACCAAUUUAACUUUCGUGAAUCUUUGAUCGCUUUUCAUUUGGCCCAGCUCGACGUCACGCGGAUGUCCCCGAUGGAUCUCGCCGGCCACACGCCCCUCGACGACGACGAGAUGAGCAGCGUGUGAUCCUCGUCGCCCCGUCCAUCCAACCGAAGAUAAGACGCCCACUCCCUCCCCUCCACAUGGCACCCACCCUCCAAUCCCUUACUUAUUCCCGCCCCCCUCACUCCUCCAUCCCCUAGCUCCACCUCUCAUCCGCUCCUCAGCCACACCUAGAGCAUCUUAGCUCCAGCUAGCCACCAAUGGCCGCCGCACUGAGCCUCCGCGCGCCCUUCUCCGUGCGCGCUGUGGCGCCACCGGCGCCCCGCGUGGCCCUUGCGCCCGCGGCCCUCAGCCUCGCCGCCGCCAAGCAGGUGCGGGGAGCCAGGCUCCGCGCGCAGGCGACGUACAAGGUGAAGCUGGUGACGCCCGAGGGCGAGGUGGAGCUGGAGGUCCCCGACGACGUCUACAUCCUGGACCAGGCCGAGGAGGAGGGCAUCGACCUGCCCUACUCCUGCCGCGCCGGCUCCUGCUCCUCCUGCGCCGGCAAGUUGGUGUCCGGCGAGAUCGACCAGUCCGACCAGAGCUUCCUCGACGACGACCAGAUGGAGGCAGGGUGGGUGCUCACCUGCCACGCCUACCCCAAGUCCGACAUCGUCAUCGAGACCCACAAGGAGGAGGAGCUCACCGCAUAAGCUGCUUACCCUGCCUCUCUUUGCAACAAGAUCGAGCUGAUAUCAUAUUAUCUCCCAUCAUGCAUGCAUGCAUGGAUAUCGCCAGAUACACCGAUUUGUUUGUGCUCGAAUGAAUUGCUCGAUGCAUGGUUUGCUCCAGUAAUAAUGUCUUCGAAUUACUACCUUUUUGUACCGUAAGAUAUACUACUGUCGUAAUACUAGCGUGUACUUAAUUCAACGUACUGAAAUGAAUCCUGAU